rnacentral:lncRNA from 1 species
GGUUCCGGUGCUGGGGUGGUUCUGGUAUCCCCCCGAGGUGACAAACUCAGUUAUGUUCUCCAGAUUCAACAACGAAGCUGAAUAUGAAGCACUUCUGUAUGGGUUGUGUAUGGCCAUUUCACUCGGCGUCCAUCGCCUCAUGGUCUAUGGCGACUCGGAUUUAGUGGUCAAUCAAGUGAUGAAGGAGUGGGACGUCAGGAGUCCAGCUAUGACUGGUUACUGUAAUGCGGUGAGAAAGCUAGAGAAGAAGUUCGAGGGGUUAGAGCUCCAUCACAUACCCCGACUGAAAAAUCAAGCAGCCGAUGAUCUGGCAAAGAUAGGUUCCAAGAGGGAGGCCAUUCCCAGCAAUGUGUUCUUGGAACACAUUCAUAGACCUUCAGUUCAAGAAGAUCCUUUGAAGAGCCCCCACAACCAAAGAGUGCUACUGAUCUGACUGAAGUCAAGGUCCCAGCUGUGGUCGAAUUGAUCAUGGAGGUUUUGGUCAUCACUCCCGACUGGACAGUGUCGUACAUCGCGUACAUUCUUAGGAAAGAGCUUUCGGAGGAUGAGGAAGAGGCUCGUCAGAUCGUCCGUCGAUCCAAAGCCUUUACCGUGAUAAAAGGACAGCUGUUCAGAGAAAGUGUAACUGGAGUCAGCCAGAAAUGCAUAACACCGGAAGAAGGUCGAGUGAUCCUUAAUGACAUCCACUGGGGACCUGUGGUCACCAUGCGUCCUCUCGAACCAUUGUGGCCAAAGCAUACCGAGCGGGAUUCUAUUGGCCGCGAGCAAAUGAGAUGGCAAAAGAGAUAGUCGACAAAUGUGAAGGUUGCCAGUUCUACUCCAACAUGUCUCACAAGCCCGCAUCUGCCCUGAAGACCAUUCCACUCGUCUGGCCCUUUGCUGUUUGGGGUUUGGAUAUGGUUGGACCUCUGAGGACUGGUAGGAGCGGUUUCACUCACGUGCUCGUGGCAGUCGACAAGUUCACCAAAUGGGUUGAAGCCAAGCCUAUCAAAAGUCUUGAAGCAAGUACUGCUGUCAGCUUCAUCAGAGAGUUAACAUUUAGAUAUGGUGUUCCACACAGCAUCAUCACUGACAAUGGGUCAAACUUCGAUUCUGAUGAGUUCAGAGCCUUCUGUGCUUCCCAAGGUACUCGAGUCGACUAUGCUUCGGUCGCUCACCCCCAGUCGAAUGGGCAAGCUGAAAGAGCAAACAGAUUGAUUCUCAAAGGGCUAAAACCCCGACUCAUGCGUGAUCUCAAGCACGCAGCAGGAGCCUGGGUCGAUGAACUUCCGUCAGUAUUGUGGGGACUGAGGACAACUCCCAAUCGGUCGACUGGCCGAACUCCUUUUUUCUUGGUUUAUGGAGCUGAAUCUAUACUUCCGAGUGAUUUCCUCCACAAUGCACCCCGAGUCGAGCUUUUCUCAAAAGAUGAAGCAGAACAGGCACGGCAAGACGCUGUUGAUCUCCUGGAAGAGGAAAGAGAGAUGGCCCUGAUCCGGUCGACCAUCUAUCAGCAAGACUUGCGUCGAUUCCACGCCAGAAGCGUGAGAGGUCGGGCAUUUCAAGAGGGAGACUUGGUUCUCCGAGUGGAUCAGCAGAAAUGACACAAGCUUGCUCCUGCUUGGGAAGGUCCCUUCAUUGUCACCAGAGUGCUCCACAAUGGAGCGUACCACCUCUACAAUGUCGAGCACAAGAAAGACGAGCCGCGCGCUUGGAAUGCGGAGCUGCUCCGCCCCUUUUAUACUUAAACACUCAUUCUGAUGAGAUGUAAUAAGAAAUACCUUUGUAGUUUGUUUAUUAAAGACAAGAGCUUUACAGUCUUCUAAAACGAUUGUCGUUGCUUAUGUUUGUGUCUGAAAUCCCCCAGUGGGUGACUUAGCCGCGAAUCCGUUUCGCCUAAGUGUAUGAAAUCCUACCGAGUGGUGAGCAAGCCUCUCACACGGGGGCUUAGCCGCGAAUCCGUUUCGCCUAAGUUUAAAAAUCAUAUCGAGUGGUGAGCAAGCCUCUCACUCGGGGGCUUAGCCGCGAAUCCGUUUCGCCUAAGUUUAAAAAUCCUACCGAGUAGUGAGCAAGCCUCUCACUCGGGGGCUUAGCUGCAGUCUGAUAUGUCUCCAAUGUAUCUAUAAUUUUUUAUUGCUCCAUGCUAUAUUAUCUUCUGUUUUGGACAUUAUUGGGCUUUAUUAUACACUUUUAUAUUAUUUUUGGGACUAACCUAUUAACCGGAGGCCCAGCCCAGAAUUGUUGUUUUUUGCCUAUUUCAGAGUUUCGCAGAAAAAGAAUAUCAAACGGAGUCCAAACGGAAUGAAACCUUCGGGAACGUGAUUUUUGGAACGAACAUGAUCCAGGAGACUUGGACCCUACGUCAAGGAACCUUCCAGGAAGCCACGAGGUAGGGGGCGCGCCUACCCCCCCAGGCGCGCCCUCCACCCUCGUGGGCCCCACGUUGCUCCACCGACGUACUCCUUCCUCCUAUAUAUACCUACGUACCCCCAAACGAUCAGAGACGGAGCCAAAAACCUAAUUCCACCGCCGCAACCUUCUGUACCCAUGAGAUCCCAUCUUGGGGCCUGUUCCGGAGCUCCGUCGGAGGGGGCAUCGAUCACGGAGGGCUUCUACAUCAACACCAUAGCCUCUCCGAUGAAGUGUGAGUAGUUUACCUUAGAUCUUCGGGUCCAUAGUUAUUAGCUAGAUGGCUUCUUCUCUCUUUUUGGAUCUAAAUACAAUGUUCUCCCCCUCUCUUGUGGAGAUCUAUUUGAUGUAAUCUUCUUUUGCGAUGUGUUUGUUGAGACCGAUGAAUUGUGGGUUUAUGAUCAAGUUUAUCUAUGAACAAUAUUUGAAUCUUCUGAAUUCUUUUAUGUAUGAUUGGUUAUCUUUGCAAGUCUCUUUGAAUUAUCAGUUUGGUUUGGCCUGCUAGAUUGAUCUUUCUUGCAAUGGGAGAAGUGCUUAGCUUUGGGUUCAAUCUUGCGGUGUCCUUUCCCAGUGACAGUAGGGGCAGCAAGGCACGUAUUGUAUUGUUGCCAUCGAGGAUAACAAGAUGGGGUUUAUAUCAUAUUGCAUGAGUUUAUCCCUCUACAUCAUGUCAUCUUGCUUAAAGCGUUACUCUGUUCUUAUGAACUUAAUACUCUAGAUGCAUGCUGGAUAGUGGUCGAUGUGUGGAGUAAUAGUAGUAGAUGCAGGCAGGAGUGGGCCUACUUGUCUCGGACGUGAUGCCUAUAUACAUGAUCAUACCUAGAUAUUCUCAUAACUAUGCUCAAUUCUGUCAAUUGCUCAACAGUAAUUUGUUCACCCACCGUAAAAUACUUAUGCUCUUGAGAGAAGCCACUAGUGAAACCUAUGGCCCCCGGGUCUAUUUUCCAUCAUAUUAAUCUUCCAACACUUAGUUAUUUUUAUUGCCUUCUAUUUUACUUUGCAUCUUUAUUAUAAAAAUACCUAAAAUAUUAUCCUAUCAUAUCUAUCAGAUCUCACUCUCGUAAGUGACCGUGUAGGGAUUGACAACCCCUUAUCGCGUUGGUUGCGAGGAUUUAUUUGUUUGUGUAGGCGCGAGGGACUCGCGCGUAGCCUCCUACUGGAUUGAUACCUUGGUUCUCAAAAACUGAGGGAAAUACUUACGCUACUUUGCUGCAUCACCCUUUCCUCUUCAAGGGAAAACCAACGCAGUGCUCAAGAGGUAGCAAGAAGGAUUUCUGGCGCCGUUGCCGGGGAGGUCUACGCAAAAGUCAACAUACCAAGUACCCAUCACAAACCCUUAUCUCCCGCAUUACAUUAUUUGCCAUUUGCCUCUCGUUUUCCUCUCCCCCACUUCAGCCUUGCCGUUUUAUUCGCCCUCUCUUCCGUUCGCCUUCUUCCCGUAUGUAUCUUUGUUUCUGUUUCCUUUUGCCUUCUAUAUGCUUGCAUCUUCGCUUGCUGAAAAUCUAUUGAUAUGGAUCCACUUAAAGUGUUCUACUUGGAUCAUCUCCAAUCCUUAUGCGCUCGUGCUGAAACCCCAACUAGCCUAGUUGAUGGGAAAUCUUUAGAUGAGCAUGCUCAUUUUGUGCGUCAUCGUUUGUCUGAAAAAGGGAAGCUCUUAUGGUAUCAUAUAAAUAGUUUGCUAUGCUAUGCUUGGAAUCUUUGUGAAAUUUUUGAUUUUACUUGUUGCUCUAAGAACCCUAAAAAACACCUUCCCUACCUAUGUGAGUUCAAUGAGAAUCAAAUCUUAUCUUCUUAUGCAAAGGGUGUUUAUAGUUACUAUGAUAUCGAACAAAUUGAAGAAUUUGUCGUUUUUAAGGGUGCUCAUGAAGUUGCUUCUUUGAUUGAAAAGUAUGAUUUUACUCUCAACAAAUCUAAAAAUUCCGUCAUACUUAAAUAUUGCAAUGAAAACUUUGCUCAUAAUUCCCAUGUCCAAGAAUUUAUUGAAAGAAUGACCGUUGCUUUGGAAGAAAAUAAUGAUAUGUAUGAAUCUAUAGAUAAUGAUGAUUUUGAUGAUUUGGUUGAAAUAUCCCUUGAUGAACAUGAUGCUUGCUAUUCUUGUGGCCAUGAUGCCAAUAUUUAUGAAGAUGAAUUUGCUAUAGUUCCUUGUGUUAAUGAUGAGAUUGUUGCUAUUGCACCCAUACUUGAUAGUUCCUUCGAUAAAAAGCAUGAUUGCAAUGAUUUUACUAUAAAUCUCUUGAUGUCAAUUGUGCUAAUAAUAUGCAAAACCCUAAGCUUGGGGAUGCUAGUUUUGCUAUGUCCACUAUUUGUUGCAAUGAUCAUGAUUGGGGUGAUUUUUCUUAUGAUCUUGAAAAUUUAUUUAAUCCCCAUGAUGAAUAUGAGAUUGAUAAUAUUGUUUGCAAUAAUAUUGAAAGUGGGUUUGGAAGAGUGUCAACUUUAGAUCCCACAUAUUUGUAGAAUAUUCAAUCUUAUGAAAUUUUUGAUAAAAGUGGGUUUGGAGAGGUCAUGACUUUAGUUAAUGUUAAUCCCACUAUUUCGGAAGAGUGUCAACUUUGCAUGCAUGUGGAUCGUGUUGAAAAUAUUUUAUAUGAUAGCUAUAUUGUUGGAUUUUCUUAUGAUCCUACAUGCAAUUAUUAUGAGAGAGGAAAAUAUGGUUGUAGAAAUUUUCAUGUUACUAAAUUACCUCUCAUUAUGUUGAGAUUGCUAUUGUUUCUUUCCGCUUCCUUGCAUAUGCUAGUUUUUGCUUGCCUUGAUAAUUUGUUUGCCUAUAAGAUGCCUAUGCAUAGGAAUUAUGUUAGACUUAGAUGUGUUUGUCACGUGUUUUAUGAUGCUCUCUUUGUGCUUCAGUUCUUGUCUCUCUUGUGAGCAUCAUUGAAAUCUCAAUGCCUAGCUAGGGGCGUUAAACGAUAGCGCUUGUUGGGAGGCAACCCAAUUUUAUUUUUAGUUUUUUUUUCUUUUUGCUUCUGUUUAGGAAUAAAUCUUUAAUCUAGCCUCUGGUUAGAUGUGUUUUUAUGUUUUAAUUAGUGUUUGUGCCAAGUUAAACCUAUAGGAUCUUCUUGGAUGAUAGUUAUUUGAUCUUGCAGAAAAUUUCAGAAACUUUCUGUUCACGAAAAUAAUUAUUAAAAACCACCAGAACGUGAUAAAAUAUUCAUUCCAAUUCUGCUGAUCAAUAAACAAAUUGUCUAGGUCUUCCUAUUUUGGCUGAUUUUUUGGAGUUCCAGAAGCUUGCGUUAGUUACAGAUUACUACAGACUGUUCUGUUUUUGACAGAUUCUGUUUUUCGUGUGUUGUUUGCUUAUUUUGAUGAAUCUAUGGCUAGUAAAAUAGUUUAUAAACCAUAGAGAAGUUGGAAUACAGUAGGUUUAACACAAAUAUAAAUAAAGAAUGAGUUCAUUACAGUACUUUGAAGUGGUCUUUUGUUUUCUUUCGCUAACGGAGCUCACGAGAUUUUCUGUUAAGUUUUGUGUUGUGAAGUUUUCAAGUUUUGGGUGAAAGAUUUGAUGGAUUAUGGAACAAGGAGUGGCAAGAGCCUAAGCUUGGGGAUGCCCAUGGCACCCCCAAGAUAAUCUAAGGACACGAAGAAACCAAAGCUUGGGGAUGCCCCGGAAGGCAUCCCCUCUUUCGUCUACUUCCAUCGGUAACUUUACUUGGAGCUAUAUUUUUAUUCACCACAUGAUAAGUGUUUUGCUUGGAGCGUCUUGUAUGAUUUGAGUCUUUGCUUUUUAGUUUACCACAAUCAUCCUUGCUGUACACACCUUUUGAGAGAGACACACAUGAUUCGGAAAUUAUUAGAAUACUCUAUGUGCUUCACUUAUACCUUUUGAGCUAUAUAGUUUUGCUCUAGUACUUCACUUAUAUCUUUUAGAGCACGGUGGUAAGUUUUGUUUUAUAGAAACUAUUGAUCUCUCAUGCUUCACUUAGAUUAUUUUGAGAGUCUUAAAUAGCAUGUUAAUUUGCUUAAAUAAUCCUAAUAUGCUAGGUAUAAAAGAUUAGUAAAAACCUUCUUAUGAGUGUGUUGAAUACUAAGAAAAGUUUGAUGCUUGAUAAUUGUUUUGAGAUAUAAAGAUGGUGAUAUUAGAGUCAUGCUAGUUGAGUAGUUAUGAAUUUGAGAAAUACUUGUGUUAAAGUUUGUGAUUCCCGUAGCAUGCACGUAUGGUGAACCGUUAUGUGAUGAAGUCGGAGCAUGAUUUAUUUAUUGAUUGUCUUCCUUAUGAGUGGCGGUCGGGGACGAGCGAUGGUCUUUUCCUACCAAUCUAUCCCCCUAGGAGCAUGCGCGUAAUACUUUGCUUUGAUAACUUGUAGAAUUUUGCAAUAAGUAUAUGAGUUCUUUAUGACUAAUGUUGAGUCCAUCGAUUAUAUGCACUUUUCUUCCUUCCACCAUUGCUAGCCUCUCUAAUACCGCGCACUUUUCGCCGGUACCAUACACCCACCAUAUACCUUCCUCAAAAUAGCCACCAUACCUACCUAUCAUGGCCUUUCCAUAGCCAUUCCGAGAUAUAUUGCCAUGCAACUUACCACCGUUUCGUUUAUUAUGACACGCUCCAUCAUUCUCAUAUUGCUUUGCAUGAUCAUGUAGUUGACAUCGUAUUUGUAGCAAAGCCACCAUUCAUAAUUCUUUCAUACAUGUCACUCUUGAUUCAUUGCAUAUCCCGGUACACCACCAGAGGCAUUCACAUAGAGUCAUAUUUUGUUCUAAGUAUUGAGUUGUAAUUCAUGAGUUGUAAGUAAAUAAAAGUGUGAUGAUCAUCACUUUUUAGAGCAUUGUCCCAAGUGAGGAAAGGAUGAUGGAGACUAUGAUUCCCCCAUAAGUCGGGAUGAGACUCCGGACUAAAAAAAAGAGGCCAUAAAAAAGAGAAAAAGAGGUCAAAUAAAAAAAGAGAGAAAAAGAGAGAAGGGGCAAUGUUACUAAACUUUUACCACACUUGUGCUUCAAAGUAGCACCAUGAUCUUCAUGAUAGAGAGUCUCUCAUUUCGUCACUUUCAUAUACUAGUGGGAAUUUUUCAUUAUAGAACUUGGCUUGUAUAUUCCAAUGAUGGGCUUCCUCAAAAUGCCCUAGGUCUUCGUGAGCAAGCGAGUUGGAUGCACACCCACUUAGUUUCUUUUGUUGAGCUUUCAUAUACUUAUAGCUCUAGUGCAUCCGUUGCAUGGCAAUCCCUACUCACUCACAUUGAUAUCUAUUAAUGGGCAUCUCCAUAGCCCGUUGAUACGCCUAGUUGAUGUGAGACUAUCUUCUCCUUUUUGUCUUCUCCACAACCACCAUUCUAUUCCACAUAUAGUGCUAUGUCCAUGGCUCACGCUCAUGUAUUGCGUGAAGAUUGAAAAAUCUUGAGAACACCAAAGGUAUGAAACAAUUGCUUGGCUUGUCAUCGGGGUUGUGCAUGAUUUAAAUACUUUGUGUGGUGAAGAUAGAGCAUAGCCAGACUAUAUGAUUUUGUAGGGAUAACUUUCUUUGGCCAUGUUAUUUUGAGAAGACAUGAUUGCUUAGUUAGUAUGCUUGAAUUAUUAUUAUUUUUUAUGUCAAUAUUAAACUUUUAUCUUGAAUCUUUCGGAUCUAAAUAUUCAUACCACAAUUAAGAAGAAUUACAUUGAAAUUAUGCCAAAUAGCAUUCCACAUCAAAAAUUCUGUUUUUAUCAUUUACCUACUCGAGGACGAGCAAGAAUUAAGAUUGGGGAUGCUUGAUACGUCUCUAACGUAUCUAUAAUUUUUUAUUGCUCCAUGCUAUAUUAUCUUCUGUUUUGGACAUUAUUGGGCUUUAUUAUACACUUUUAUAUUAUUUUUGGGACUAACCUAUUAACCGGAGGCCCAGCCCAGAAUUGCUGUUUUUUGCCUAUUUCAGAGUUUCGCAGAAAAAGAAUAUCAAACGGAGUCCAAACGGAAUGAAACCUUCGGGAACGUGAUUUUUGGAACGAACAUGAUCCAGGAGACUUGGACCCUACGUCAAGGAAGCUUCCAGGAAGCCACGAGGUAGGGGGCGCGCCUACACCCCCCCCCCAGGCGUGCCCUCCACCCUCGUGGGCCCCACGUUGCUCCACCGACGUACUCCUUCCUCCUAUAUAUACCUACGUACCCCCAAAUGAUCAGAUACGGAGCCAAAAACCUAAUUCCACCGCCGCAACCUUCUGUACCCACGAGAUCCCAUCUUGGGGCCUGUUCCGGAGCUCCGUCGGAGGGGGCAUCGAUCACGGAGGGCUUCUACAUCAACACCAUAGCCUCUCAGAUGAAGUGUGAGUAGUUUACCUCAGACCUUCGGGUCCAUAGUUAUUAGCUAGAUGGCUUUUUCUCUCUUUUUGGAUCUCAAUACAAUGUUCUCCCCCUCUCUUGUGGAGAUCUAUUCGAUGUAAUCUUCUUUUGCGGUGUGUUUGUUGAGACCGAUGAAUUGUGGGUUUAUGAUCAAGUUUAUCUAUAAACAAUAUUUGAAUCUUCUGAAUUCUUUUAUGUAUGAUUGGUUAUCUUUGCAAGUCUCUUCGAAUUAUCAGUUUGGUUUGGCCUGCUAGAUUGAUCUUUCUUGCAAUGGGAGAAGUGCUUAGCUUUGGGUUCAAUCUUGCAGUGUCCUUUCCCAGUGACAGUAGGGGCAGCAAGGCACGUAUUGUAUUGUUGCCAUCGAGGAUAACAAGAUGGGGUUUAUAUCAUAUUGCAUGAGUUUAUCCCUCUACAUCAUGUCAUCUUGCUUAAAGCGUUACUCUGUUCUUAUGAACUUAAUACUCUAGAUGCAUGCUGGAUAGCGGUCGAUGUGUGGAGUAAUAGUAGUAGAUGCAGGCAGGAGUCGGUCUACUUGUCUCGGACGUGAUGCCUAUAUACAUGAUCAUACCUAGAUAUUCUCAUAACUAUGCUCAAUUCUGUCAAUUGCUCAACAGUAAUUUGUUCACCCACCGUAAAAUACUUAUGCUCUUGAGAAGCCACUAGUGAAACCUAUGGCCCCGGGUCUAUUUUCCAUCAUAUUAAUCUACCAACACUUAGUUAUUUUUAUUGCCUUCUAUUUUACUUUGCAUCUUUAUCAUAAAAAUACCAAAAAUAUUAUCCUAUCAUAUCUAUCAGAUCUCACACUCGUAAGUGACCGUGUAGGGAUUGACAACCCCUUAUCGCGUUGGUUGCGAGGAUUUAUUUGUUUGUGUAGGUGCGAGGGACUCGCGCGUAGCCUCCUACUGGAUUGAUACCUUGGUUCUCAAAAACUGAGGGAAAUACUUACGCUACUUUGCUGCAUCACCCUUUCCUCUUCAAGGGAAAACCAGCGCAGUGCUCAAGAGGUAGCACAGUCUAGUACUCGCCUAAGUUUAAAAAAUCCUACCGAGUGGUGAGCAAGCUUCUCACUCGGGGGCUUAGCUGCAGUCCAGUACUCGCCUAAGUUUAAAAAAUCCUACCGAGUGGUGAGCAAGCAUCUCACUCUGGGGCUUAGCUACAGUCCAGUACUCACCUAAGUUUGAAAAAUCCUACCGAGUGGUGAGCAAGCCUCUCACUCGGGGGCUUAGCUGCAGUUCAGUACUCGCCUAAGUUUAAAAAAUCCUACUGAGUGGUGAGCAAGCCUCUCACUCGGGGGCUUAGCUGCAGUCCAGUNNNNNNNNNNNNNNNNNNNNNNNNNNNNNNNNNNNNNNNNNNNNNNNNNNNNNNNNNNNNNNNNNNNNNNNNNNNNNNNNNNNNNNNNNNNNNNNNNNNNNNNNNNNNNNNNNNNNNNNNNNNNNNNNNNNNNNNNNNNNNNNNNNNNNNNNNNNNNNNNNNNNNNNNNNNNNNNNNNNNNNNNNNNNNNNNNNNNNNNNNNNNNNNNNNNNNNNNNNNNNNNNNNNNNNNNNNNNNNNNNNNNNNNNNNNNNNNNNNNNNNNNNNNNNNNNNNNNNNNNNNNNNNNNNNNNNNNNNNNNNNNNNNNNNNNNNNNNNNNNNNNNNNNNNNNNNNNNNNNNNNNNNNNNNNNNNNNNNNNNNNNNNNNNNNNNNNNNNNNNNNNNGUGACGAGCAAGCCUCUCACUCGGGGGCUUAGCCGCGAAUCCGUUUCGCCUAAGUUUGAAAAAGCUUACGAGUGAUGAGCGAGCCUCUCACUCGGGGGCUUAGCCGCGAAUCCGUUUCGCCUAAGUUUGAAAAAGCUUACCGAGUGAUGAGCAAGCCUCUCACUCGGGGGCUUAGCCGCGAAUCCGUUUCGCCUAAGUUUGAAAAAUCCUACCCAGUGGUGAGCAACCCUCCCACUCGGGGGCUUAGCUGCAGUCCAGUGAUGACCCAUAAGUAUAGGGGAUCUAUCGUAGUCCUUUCGAUAAGUAAGAGUGUCGAACCCAACGAGGAGCAGAAGGAAAUGAUAAGCGGUUUUCAGCAAGGUAUUCUCUGCAAGUACUGAAAUAAAUGGUAACUGAUAGUUUUGUGAUAGGAUAAUUUGUAACGAGCAACAAGUAAUAAAAGUAAAUAAAGUGCAGCAAGGUGGCCCAAUCCUUUUUGUAGCAAAGGACAAGCCUAGACAAACUCUUAUAUAGAGAAAAGCGCUCCCGAGGACACAUGGGAAUUAUCGUCAAGCUAGUUUUCAUCACGUUCAUAUGAUUCGCAUUCGGUACUUUGAUAAUUUGAUAUGUGGGUGGACCGGUGCUUGGGUGAUGUUCUUACUUGAACAAGCAUCCCACUUAUGAUUAACCUCUAUUGCAAGCAUCCACAACUACAACAAAAGUAUUAAGGUAAACCUAACCAUAGCAUGAAACAUAUGGAUCCAAAUCAGCCCCUUACAAAGCAACGCAUAAACUAGGGUUUAAGCUUCUGUCACUCUGGCAACCCAUCGUCUACUUAUUACUUCCCAAUGCCUUCCUCUAGGCCCAAAUAAUGGUGAAGUGUUAUGUAGUCGACGUUCACAUAACACCACUAGAGGCUAGACAACAUACAUCUCAUCAAAAUAUCGAACGAAUACCAAAUUCACAUGACUACUAAUAGCAAGACUUCUCCCAUGUCCUCAGGAACAAACGUAACUACUCACAAAGCAUAUUCAUGUUCAUAAUCAGAGGGGUAUUAAUAUGCAUAAAGGAUCUGAACAUAUGAUCUUCCACCAAGUAAACCAACUAGCAUCAACUACAAGGAGUAAUCAACACUACUAGCAACCUACUAGUACCAAUCCCGGACUUGGAGACAAGAAUUGGAUACAAGAGAUGAACUAGGGUUUUGAGAGGAGAUGGUGCUGGUGAAGAUGUUGAUGGAGAUUGCCCUCUCCCGAUGAGAGGAGCGUUGGUGAUGACGAUGGCGAUGAUUUCCCCCUCCCGGAGGGAAGUGUCCCCGGCAGAACAGCUCUACCGGAGCCCUAGAUUGGUUCCGCCAAGGUUCCGCCUCGUGGCGGCGGAGUCUCGUCCCGAAAGGUUGCUUCUGAUUUUUUUCCUGGACGAAAGACUUCAUAUAGCAGAAGAUGGCCACCGGAGAGCCAACAGGGGGCCCACAAGGCAGGGGACGCGCCCUGGGGGGUAGGGCGCGCCCCCACCCUCGUGGACAGGUGGUGGCCCCCCUGACUUAUUUCUUCCGCUCAGUAUAUUUUAUUAUUUCCAAAAAUAACUUUCGUGGAGUUUCAGGACUUUUGGAGUUGUGCAGAAUAGGUCUCUAAUAUUUGCUCCUUUUCCAGCCUAGAAUUCCAGCUGCCAGCAUUCUCCCUCCUUAUGUAAACCUUGUAAAAUAAGAGAGAAUAGGCAUAAGUAUUGUGACAUAACGUGUAAUAACAACCCAUAAUGCAAUAAAUAUCGAUAUAAAAGCAUGAUGCAAAAUGGACGUAUCAACUCCCCCAAACUUAGACCUCGCUUGUCCUCAAGCGGAAGCCGAUAACGAUAAAUAUGUCCACAUGUUUAGAGGUAGAGGUGUCGAUAAAAUAAAAUACGGACAUGAGGGCAUCAUGAUUAUUUUCAUAACAGCAACAUAUAUGGAUAUUGUCAUAUGAUUUCUUAUGCUCAAGUAAUAAUCUAUUCACAAUGCAAAAGUACGAAUCAUAAACUUUAUUGAGAACUAACAAACUAUAAUCUCAGUCAUUGAAGCAAUUGCAAUUUAUCAUAACAUCAGAAAAGAGCCUAUUUCAGAGCUUUCCAGCAAGUCCACAUACUCAACUAUCAUUUAGUCCUUCAUAAUUGCUAACACUCACGCAAUACUUGUGGUUAUGGAGUUUUAAUCGGACACAGAGAAAGAUAGGGGCUUAUAGUUUCGCCUACCAACCUUUUACCUCAGGGGUAAUGUCAACAACAAUAGUUCAUGCUAACUUACAUCCAAUUAGAUAUAUAUCAGGAUCUUUCCAACACCCUGUGCUUGCCAAAGGAUAAAAUGUAAAAAGGAAAGGUGAAGAUCACCAUGACUCUUGCAUAAGGUAGAAGAUAAUAAUAAAAGAUAGGCCCUUCGCAGAGGGAAGCAGAGGUUGCCAUGCGCUUUCAGGGUUGGAUGCACAAAAUCUUAAUGCGAAAGAACGUCACUUUAUAUUGCCACUUGUGAUAUGAACCUUUAUUAUGCAGUCCGUCGCUUUUAUUUCUUCCACAUCACAAGAUCGUAUAAAGCUUAUUUCCUCCACACCAAUCAAUCAUACAUAUUUAGAGAGCAAUUUUUAUUGCUUGCACCGAUGACAACUUACUUGAGGAUCUUACUCAAUCCAUAGGUAGAUAUGGUGGACUCUCAUGGCAAAACUGGUUUAAGGGUUUUUGGAAGCACAAGUAGUAUCUCUACUUGGUGCUAAGAAUUUGGCUAGCAUGAGGGGGAAAGGCAAGCUAAACAUGUUGGAUGAUCCAUGACAAUAUACUUUAUCUCAGAUAUAAGAAAUAACCCAUUACGUUGUCUUCCUUGUCCAACAUCAACUCUUUAGCAUGUCAUAUUUUAAUGAGUGCUCCCAAUCAUAAAAGAUGUCCAAGAUAGUAUAUUUAUAUGUGAGACCUCUCUUUCUCUAUUACUUCCUAUUAAUUGCAACGAUGACCAAAGCUAUGUUUGCCAACUCUCAACAAUUUUUAAUCAUCAUACUCUUUCUAUGUGAAGUCAUUACUCUCAAUACGAUCAAUAUGAUCUCUUUGUUUCUUUUUAUCUUUUCUUUUAUUCACUCAAGAUCAUGGCAAAAUAAUCAAGCCCUUGACUCAACACUAAUCUUUAUUAUAUAGCUCACGGACUCGAUCACAAAGAGGGAUCAUAAAGCAAAACUCAAAACUAGAUCAUGCCAUAAACUUUAUGCUACUAGAUCAAGAUACUACUAAUAGGAUCGAACUAAGAAAAACGGUAAAGAUAGGACUGUGAUGGUGAUACGAUACCGGGGCAUCUCCCCCAAGCUUGGCAGUUGCCAAGGGGAGUGCCCAUACCCAUGUGAUUAUGUCUCUUUUGCUAGUGAAGAGGAUGGUGGUGGUGAUGGAUAGUCGCACAUCGAGCGUAAGAGGUCCUCCAGCUUGCGGAUAAUGCCCUUGAGUGCAACAAUGUGCUCCUUCAACAAAAUAUUUUCACGUGUGAGAUACUUGUUCUGUAUACGAGCUAACUCAAUCAUCUUGAAAGCUUCGAUCUCAGUUGGGGUAAGAAGAUUGUGAUCAAGUUGAAGGAUGUCUUCUGCUGCCGGAGCUUGAUCCUCCGUGGCCUUCUUGAUCCCUUCAUCCUUGUUGAUCUCCAUGGGUUCUUCCCUCUUCAGCUCUAUCUUCAUUAGUCAAGCAUCAUUAUCACCAUUGUUGGAGGAGGGGGACGACAUGAUGCCUGGCCUUGACAACCCUGACAGAAAACAGCUCGAAACAAGAACAGAGGAUAAUUGCGUGAUACGGGAGUCAAAACCUUCGGGAGAUUAUAUAAUGAAUUUUUACCGACCAAAAUACGUAUCGUGCAAGAAAACGGAGUCUGGAGAGCACACGAGGUGCCCACGAGGUAGGGGGGUGCGCCCUCCACCCUCAUGGAGGCCUCGUGUCCUUCCCGGACCCCUUCUUAUUUUUCUAUUUUUCUAAAUAUUCCAAAACAGAGAAAUAUUGCCAUUAGAAUUGUUUUGGAGUCGGUUUACUUACCGUACCACAUACCUAUUCCUUUUCGGAGUCUGAAACGUUCCGGAAAGUGUCCCUUAUGUAUUCCUCCGGGGUUACGGUUUCAAUAACAUUGGUUUCAACAUUUAUGGGAUUACCUGAGAUAUAGUGUUUAAUUCUUUGACCGUUCACCACCUUCGGAUUUGUGCCUUCGAAGUUGUUGAUUUUUAUGGCACCGGAACGAUAGACCUCCUCGAUAACGUAAGGGCCUUCCCAUUUAGAGAGAAGUUUUCCUGCAAAAAAUCUUAAACGAGAGUUGUAUAGUAAUACAUAAUCACCUACAUUAAACUCACGCUUUUGUAUCCUUUUGUCAUGCCAUCUUUUAACUUUUUCUUUAAACAACUUGGCAUUUUCAUAAGCUUGGGUUCUCCAUUCAUCAAGUGAGCUAAUAUCAAAUAAACUCUUCUCACCGGCAAGUUUGAAAUCAUAAUUGAGCUCUUUGAUGGCCCAAUAUGCCUUAUGUUCUAGUUCGAGAGGUAAGUGACAUGCUUUUCCAUAAACCAUUUUAUACGGAGACACACCCAUAGGAUUUUUAUAUGCAGUUCUAUAGGCCCACAAUGCAUCAUCAAGUUUCUUGGACCAAUUCUUUCUAGAUCUAUUAACAGUCUUUUGCAAAAUUAAUUUGAGCUCUCUAUUACUCAAUUCUACUUGACCACUAGACCGUGGGUGAUAAGGAGAUGCAAUUCUAUGAUUAACAUCAUACUUAGCAAGCAUUUUACGGAAAGCACCAUGAAUAAAAUGUGAACCACCAUCAGUCAUUAAAUAUCUAGGGACUCCAAACCUCAGAAAAAUAACUUCUUUAAGCAUCUUAAUAGAGGUGUUAUGAUCAGCACUACUAGUUGGAAUAGCUUCUACCCACUUAGUAACGUAAUCAACAGCAACUAAAAUAUGUCUAUAUCCAUUAGAGGCAGGAGAAGGUCCCAUAUAAUCAAAGCCCCAAACAUCAAAUGGUUCAAUAACAAGUGAAUAGUUCAUAGGCAUUUCUUGACGUCUACUAAUAUUAGCAAUUCUUUGACAUUCAUCACAAAAUAAGACAAACUUACGGGCAUCCUUGAAGAGAGUAAGCCAAUAAAAACCGGAUUGCAAUACCUUAUGUGCAGUUCUAUCUCCAGCGUGGUGUCCUCCAUAAGCUUCGGAGUGACACUUGCAUAGGAUCUGUUCCUGUUCAUGCUCAGGUACACAACGUCUAAUAACACCAUCUACUCCUUCUUUAUAAAGAUGUGGGUCAUCCCAAAAGUAAUGUCUCAAGUCAUAGAAAAUCUUUUUCUUUUGCUGGUAUGUGAAACUAGGUGGUAUAAAUUUAGCAACAAUAUAAUUAGCAUAAUCAUCAUAACACGGAGUACUACGAGAGGUAUUUAUGACAUUUAAUUGCUCAUCAGGAAAGCUAUCAUCAAUAGGUAGUGGGCCAUCAAGAACAUUUUCUAACCUAGACAAGUUGUGUGCGACGGGGUUCUCAGCUCCCUUUCUAUCAACAAUAUGCAAAUCAAAUUCUUGUAGUAAGAGAACCCAUCUAAUAAGUCUAAGUUUAGCAUCUUUCUUUUCCAUAAGAUAUUUAAUAGCAGCAUGAUCCGUGUGAAUAGUUACUUUAGAAUCAACAAUAUAAGGUAUGAACUUAUCACAAGCAAAUAUAACUGCUAAGAAUUCUUUUUCAGUAGUAGCAUAAUUUCUUUGAGCAUUGUCUAGAGUCUUACUAGCAUAUUGAAUAACAUUUAAUUUCUCAUCAACUCUUUGCCCUAGAACUGCACCUACAGCAUAAUCACUGGCCUCACACAUAAUUUCAAAAGGUAAAUUCCAAUCAGGUGGCUGAACAAUAGGUGCAGAAAUCAAUGUUUUCUUAAGUACUUCAAAUGCUUCUACACAAUCAUCAUCAAAGACAAAUGGUAUAUCUUUUUGUAAUAAAUUAGUCAGAGGCCGAGAAAUUUUUGAGAAGUCCUUCAUGAACCUCCUAUAAAAUCCGGUGUGACCAAGGAAACUUCUUAUACCUUUGAUGUCCUUGGGACAUGGCAUCUUUUCAAUAGCAUCAACCUUGGCUUUAUCAACCUCAAUACCUCUUUCAGAAACUUUAUGCCCCAAGACAAUACCUUCAUUAACCAUAAAGUGGCACUUUUCCCAAUUCAAGACAAGAUUAGUUUCUUCACAUCUCUGCAAAACUCGAUCAAGGUUGCUCAAGCAAUCAUCAAAUGAGGAUCCAUAGACGGAAAAGUCGUCCAUGAAAACCUCACAAAUCUUUUCACAAAAGUCGGAGAAUAUAGCCAUCAUGCAUCUUUGAAAGGUAGCAGGUGCAUUACAUAAACCAAAAGGCAUACGUCUAUAAGCAAAAGUACCAAAAGGGCAAGUAAAAGUAGUUUUUGAUUGAUCAUUGGCUGACACAGGUAUUUGAGAGAAACCAGAAUAACCAUCUAGAAAGCAAAAGUGUGUAUGUUUGCAUAAUCUUUCUAGCAUUUGAUUGAUAAAAGGUAAGGGGUAAUGAUCUUUCUUAGUAGCCUUAUUUAAUUUGCGGAAAUCAAUUACCAUCCUAUAACCCGUAAUAAUUCUUUGCGGAAUCAAUUCAUCUUUAUCAUUAGGGACGACAGUAAUACAUCCCUUCUUAGGGACACAAUGGACAGGGCUUACCCACUGACUAUCAGCAACUGGAUAAAUUAUACCUGCCUCAAGGAGCUUUAGUAUUUCCUUUCUUACCACUUCUUUCAUUUUAGGAUUCAGCCGUCGUUGAUGAUCACGAACUGGUUUGGCAUCUUCCUCCAAAUUGAUUUUAUGUUGACAUAGAGUGGGACUAAUGCCCUUAAGAUCAUCAAGAGUAUAUCCAAUAGCAGCACGGUGCUUCUUCAGAGUUUUCAAUAAUCUCUCUUCUUCAUGCUCUGAAAGGUUAGCACUAAUAAUAACAGGAUAUAUCUUCUUUUCAUCAAGAUAAGCAUAUUUAAGAGUAUCAGGCAACGGUUUAAGCUCAAACACGGGAUCACCCUUGGGUGGAGGAGGAUCCCCUAGGAUUUCAAAAUGCAAAUUGUGUUUCAGGAUAGGUUCCUAUUUAAAGAAUAUUUCAUCUAUUUCCCUUCUUUCAUUCAUAAACAUAUCAUUUUCAUGGUCUAGCAAAUAUUGUUCUAAAGGAUCACUAGGAGGUACAGCAAUAGAAGCAAGACCAAUAAUUUCAUCCUUACUAGGUAAUUCCUCUUCACGGUGUUGUCUACUAAAUUUAUAGAAAUUAAACUCAUGAGACAUAUCACCCAAGCCAAUAGUAACAACACUCUUUUCGCGGUCUAUCCUAGCAUUAACUGUGUUCAAGAAGGGUCUACCAAAAAUAAUGUGACAAAAGCUAUCUUGUGGGGAACCAAGAACAAGAAAAUCAGCAGGAUAUUUAGUUUUCCCACACAAGACUUCAACAUCUCUAACAAUUCCAAUGGGUGAUAUUGUAUCUCUAUUAGCAAGUUUGAUGGUAACAUCAAUACCUUCUAUCUCAGCAGGUGCAAUUUCAUGCAUAAUUUCUUUGUAUAAGUCAUGAGGUAUAGCACUAGCACUAGCACCCAUAUCACAUAAGCCAUGAUAACAAUGAUCUCCUAUUUUAACAGAAAUAACAGGCAUGCCUACCACAGGUCUAUGUUUAUCUUUAGCACAAGGUUUGGCAAUUCUAGCAGUUUCACUGCAGAAAUAAAUAACAUGCCCAUCAAUAUUAUCAGCCAAGAGAUCUUUAACAAUAGCAAUAUUAGGUUCAACUUUGAUUUGCUCAGGAGGUGUAUAAGUUCUAAUAUUGCUUUUACGAACCACAGUUGAAGCUUUAGCAUGAUCCUUUAUCCUAACAGGGAAAGGUGGUUUCUCGACAUAAGAAGUAGGAACAACAGGAUCAUUAUAAGUAAUAGUCUUUUCUUCAACUUUAACAGGUGCAACUACUUUUAAUUCUAUGGGAGGAUGAUAUUUAAACCACUUCUCCUUGGGGAGAUCAACAUAAGUAGCAAAAGAUUCACAGAAAGAAGCUACUAUCUCAGAGUCAAGUCCAUAUUUAGUGCUAAAUUUACGGAAAACAUCGGUAUCCAUAAAACAUUUAACACAAUCAAACUUAGGUGUCAUACCUGACUCCUUACCUUCGUCGAGAUCCCAAUCUUCAGAGCUGCGUUUAAUUCUAUCCAAUAAGUUCCAUUUGAAUUCAAUAGUCUUCAUCAUAAAAGAGCCAGCACAAGAAGUAUCGAGCAUGGUGCGAUUAUUAUCAGAAAGCCGAGCAUAAAAACUUUGAAUAAUUAUUUCUCUUGAGAGCUCAUGAUUGGGGCAUGAAUAUAACAUUGAUUUAAGCCUCCCCCAAGCUUGAGCGAUGCUUUCUCCUUCGCGAGGCCAAAAAUUAUAUAUAUAAUUGCGAUCACGAUGAACAAGAUGCAUAGGAUAAAAUUUCUGAUGAAAUUCCAAUUUCAAUCGUUUGUAGUUCCAUGACCCCGUAUCAUCACAUAGCCUAUACCAUGUCGAUGCAUCUCCCUUCAAAGAUAAAGGGAAGACCUUCUUCUUAACAACAUCAUCGGGUAUACCUGCAAGCUUAAAUAAUGCACAAACUUCAUCCACAUAUAUUAGGUGCUCAUCAGGAUGCUUUGUUCCAUCUCCUGCAAAAGGAUUAGCUAGCAGUUUUUCUAACAUACCCGAAGGAACUUCAAAGGGAAAAUUUUCAUUUUCGGUAGGUUGAGGAGCAACUCUUUGCUCUACAGGUCGGGGUGAAGAUACCCCGAACAAGCCCCUCAGAGGAUUACUUUCCAUAGUAACAAGUGACAGUAAAUUUCAGCAUGCUAUAUAAAUUUUUCCUUACCAAAUUCCACCUACCAAAGGCGCUUCACUCCCCGGAAACGGCGCCAAAAAAGAGUCUUGAUGACCCACAAGUAUAGGGGAUCUAUCGUAGUCCUUUUGAUAAGUAAGAGUGUCGAACCCAACGAGGAGCAGAAGGAAAUGAUAAGCGGUUUUCAGCAAGGUAUUCUCUGCAAGUACUGAAAUAAGUGGUAACAGAUAGUUUUGUGAUAGCAUAAUUUGUAACGAGCAACAAGUAACAAAAGUAAAUAAAGUGCAGCAAGGUGGCCCAAUCCUUUUUGUAGCAAAGGACAAGCCUGGAAAAACUCUUAUAUAGGGAAAAGCGCUCCCGAGGACACAUGUGAAUUAUCGUCAAGCUAGUUUUCAUCACGUUCAUAUGAUUCGUGUUCGGUACUUUGAUAAUUUGAUAUGUGGGUGGACCGGUACUUGGGUGCUGUUCUUACUUGAACAAGCAUCCCACUUAUGAUUAACCUCUAUUGCAAGCAUCCGCAACUACAACAAAAGUAUUAAGGUAAACCUAACCAUAGCAUGAAACAUAUGGAUCCAAAUCAGCCCCUUACGAAGCAACGCAUAAACUAGGGUUUAAGCUUCUGUCACUCUAGCAACCCAUCGUCUACUUAUUACUUCCCAAUGCCUUCCUCUAGGCCCAAAUAAUGGUGAAGUGUUAUGUAGUCGACGUUCACAUAACACCACUAGAGGCUAGACAACAUACAUCUCAUCAAAAUAUCGAACGAAUACCAAAUUCACAUGACUACUAAUAGCAAGACUUCUCCCAUGUCCUCAGGAACAAACGUAACUACUCACAAAGAAUAUUCAUGUUCAUAAUCAGAGGGGUAUUAAUAUGCAUAAAGGAUCUGAACAUAUGAUCUUCCACCAAAUAAACCAACUAGCAUCAACUACAAGGAGUAAUCAACACUACUAGCAACCUACUAGUACCAAUCCCGGACUUGGAGACAAGAAUUGGAUACAAGAGAUGAACUAGGAUUUUGAGAGGAGAUGGUGCUGGUGAAGAUGUUGAUGGAGAUUGCCCUCUCCCGAUGAGAGGAACGUUGGUGAUGACGAUGGCGAUGAUUUCCCCCUCCCGGAGGGAAGUGUCCCCGGCAGAACAGCUCUACCGGAGCCCUAGAUUGGUUCCGCCAAGGUUCCGCCUCGUGGCGACGGAGUCUCGUCCCAAAAGGUUGCUUCUAAUUUUUUCCUAGAUGAAAGACUUCAUAUAGCAGAAGAUGGCCACCGGAGAGCCAACAGGGGGCCCACGAGGCAGGGGGCGCGCCCUGGGGGGUAGGGCGCGCCCCCCACCCUCGUGGACAGGUGGUGGCCCCCCUGACGUAUUUUUUCCGCUCAGUAUUUUUUAUUAUUUCCAAAAAUAACUUUCGUGGAGUUUCAGGACAUUUGGAGUUGUGCGGAAUAGGUCUCUAAUAUUUGCUCCUUUUCCAGCCCAGAAUUCCAGCUGCCGGCAUUCUCCCUCCUUAUGUAAACCUUGUAAAAUAAGAGAGAAUAGGCAUAAGUAUUGUGACAUAACGUGUAAUAACAGCCCAUAAUGCAAUAAAUAUCGAUAUAAAAGCAUGAUGCAAAAUGGACGUAUCAUCCAGUACUCGCCUAAGUUUGAAAAAUCCUACCGAGUGGUGAGCAACCCUUCCACUCGGGGGCUUAGCUGCAGUCCAGUACUCGCCUAAGUUUGAAAAAUCCUACCGAGUGGUGAGCAACCCUCUCACUCGGGGGCUUAGCUGUAGUCCAGUACUCGCCUAAGUUUGAAAAAUCCUACCGAGUGGUGAGCAACCCUCUCACUCGGAGGCUUAGUUGCAGUCCAGUACUCGCCUAAGUUUGAAAAAUCAUACCGAGUGGUGAGCAACUCUCUCAUUCGGGGGCUUAGCUGCAGUCCAGUACUUGCCUAAGUUUGAAAAUCCUACCGAGUGGUGAGCAAGCCUCUCACUCGGGGGCUUAGCAGCAGUCCAGUACUCGCCUAGGUUCGAAACACAUCCCUAUCCGCGAGGACGACGAAGUGCAGGUCGACCGCAACCUUCUCCUUCGGAGUUGCACCACAAGUACAACGUGAGCUUCAUCCCUAUCCGCAAGGACGACGAGGUGCAGGUCGACUGCAACCUUCUCCUUCGGAGCUGCGCCACAAGUACAACGUGCGCUUCAUCCCUAUCCGCAAGGACGACGCGGUGCAGGUCGACUGCAACCUUCUCCUUCGGAGCUGCGCCAAAAGUACAACAUGCGCUUCAUCCCUAUCUGCAAGGACGACGAGGUGCAGGUCGACUGCAACCUUCUCCUGCGGAGCUGCGCCACAAGUACAACGUGCGCUUCAUCCCUAUCUGCAAGGACGACGAGGUGCAGGUCGACUGGAACCUCCUCCUCAGGGCGGCAUCUCAAGUAUAAAGAUUAUUCCGAGUGAAGAACAGGCUCCGCUCGAAGGCAAACACAAGCAUAUUUAGAGAUAAACCAAGUUUAGAUAAAUCCUAAAGUUCAAGACCGCAGAUUAAAGUACUCGGGCAUUCAACCCGAAGGAGUUUAACAGUUACAAAAUCACUCGGCAUUCCGAGGCAAAUUCAAGGCAGGGCAUAAAAGUUUGUUCACUCCGCAGGAGGAGGACUGGCAGGCUCCACGAAUUCGUCCAGGUCAAUUCCGUCAGCAAUCCGAGUGGCGGCAGCAAUGAAGGUCUCCAUGAAGGACUGGAAGUCGUGCCUCUUGGUAUUGGCAACCUUGAUCACUGCCAGCUUCUCUUCCCGCGCUUCCCGGCAGUGGACACGAACCAGAGAUAGAGCCACAUCAGCGUCGCACCGGGCAGAGGACUUCUUGCAUUCUUGAACUCGACCGGGAACUUCAUUGAGCCGAGCCAUUAGAGACUCGAGGUCAUUCUGGAACGUCACCAUUGGCCAGAGAGCUGUGUCAAUCCGCGACAUUGCGAAUUUCAGUCGAGCGAGAUAAUCGACAACACCAGCGAUGAGAGAUUCUAGUCGGAGUACGUUCAUGGCAGCUUCAUCCUUCACUGGAGAGUUGAUGGGGUCCAAGCUUGUUUCAAUUCGCCCGGUCUCUUCCUCGAAGUUCCGGCAAAAUUCUGCAUGCACAGUUCAAGGAUGAGUCAUUGGUUAUAUGUCGAGUCCACAGGAACAAAUCAGCCGGGUCAAAGAAAAUACCUUCAAGCAUGACAAACAGCUUCUUAGCAAGGCUUCCCAGAUAAUUCUCCAGAUCGUUCCUCCUGCGAGCAAUGCCUUCCAUAUUCUCGUUCAGAUUGUCCUUGUCCUUCUUCAGGCGAGUUGCUUCCUUAUUGGCUUCGUCAAGGGCAACUUUUAGCUUGGCGUUUUCUUCCUCCAGUUUGCCGACUGAAGCCAACUUCUGUUCAGCGAGUGCGGUUUUCUCAUCAAUUGUUUUCUGCGCGGAUGCCAGAUCUUGAUCCUUUUUCGCCAGAGCUUGGUUCAGUUUCUCUGAAAGAAACAAUGCUUGAUUCAGAAAAAGCGGAAUGAAAUCCGGUUCAGAGAUAAAUCAGUAGACAAGUCUUUUCUUACCAGCGGCUUCGUCCUUGGCUUUCUGCAGAGUUGUCUUGGCCAGCUCCAGAUCGAGGUUGAGUUGAAUCUGCUGCUUCUCCAGCUCAGCAAAACGAGCUCCAAGAUCACAAGAUUUCUGCAACCAAAGAACAAGUCAGUCGACAGAUGAAAAGACUAGUUAUUUCGGAGAGUAAAAGCGUUAAAGUCAACAAAUUCUAAGACUACUGCCGAAUCAAACAUCCAACAGUAGUCUCGGGGACUACACCCAGUGGGUGCAAUUAGCGUGCCCCACUGAUCCAGUUUACACUCGACAUGGUCUGUCCAGCAUGAGUGCAAAAAAAAGAGAAGAGAGUUUUCAGACCAUAGUCGACUGCCAGCAGUCGACCACGGUCUCGGGUACUACACCCAGUGGGUGCACUUAGCGUGCCCCCACUUGUUCAAGUUCCACUCGACAUGGUCCGACCAGACCAAGUGAGGAAAUUCAAAUUCUAAGACUACAAUCGACUGCCCGUAGUCCACUAUAGUCUCGGGGACUACACCCAGUGGGUGCACUCAGCGUGCCCCCACUGGUUCAAAGAUCCAACCGACACGACUAGUCGGCUCAAGAUACAAAUUUGUUCAGUGGCAAGUUAAAACACCCAGUGGGUGUACGGAUGCGAAACACAGACAGAUGCAAAGAUUCCUCAAGGAAAUAUUUUCAGGUAGCAUAUCCUAACAGAACAAGCAACAAGCCGAAAGAGCCAGUCGACAAUCUGCUAACUUGGACGUUGCUCUGAAGAGCGGAGCUGGUGUCAUAGGUGGCUUGGCUGGCUUCCCGGACCGUCUUCAUCUGCUCCAUCAUGAUGCCCGCCUGGCGUAUGGCUUCUCUGGCAGCACCCACCUGGUCCUCUGGGACGUGAUGUGCGGCAAAAAGUGAAGGUGGAUCGGCUGAAGCCUGCGCGGCUGACGCGGAAGGUGACAAAGCGAAGGUGACAGAGGUCCGAUUGGCAUCGCCAGCCUCUUGGAUUACCGGUUCCGCCACCGGCGUCGACUGAGGCGUCUUGCCAGUAAACGUUUUCUUGCUUCGUCUUCCCAAGGGUCUCGGUGGCUCGUCUUCUUCGUCGUCUGGGAGGUCAAUGAUGUUGGGAGGAGCUGCAAAAAGAUCAGUCGCCAAAAUUUCAUCCCCGUUGGUUAUACCGCAGUUCAAUCGACAAAACAAAGACAAGAUCACGAAGGUUAUACUCGGGUUGGAGGUGACCGCAUCAUCCAUGUCCUCAUCCUCGUUUUUGUAUGCAGAGGUCCCAGAAGUAGCAGCACUGCUAGUUUCAAGAUUCAUUCGGUCAAACCAAGGAAAAAUAGACAGCAUAAAACUUCGGGUAAAAUGAAGACAGGACACUCACGCAGACGCAACAGGGAUGUCAAUUUUGAUUCUGGGCAGCGCUUUCCGGGUCUUCUGCACUACAACCUUGGACUGCUUCGGGGCCUUUUCAGUCGGUGCCGGAGACGACAUCCGAGGACGCUUUGACGACUGCCCGGUCUGAACGGUCGCCUUGUCGCGGGCGCUUGCUGGAUCGUGGGUGAGCUUGGACCGCCUUUCCCUGCGGGGAGGUGAGUCGACCUCCUCUUCAUCACUCGGGUCAUCGCUCUCCUCGUCCCCUUCACCGUCAGAAUGCCACUCGCCGCUUUCACCUCCGCUUGCCUCUCCCUCCGGGUCCUACUCCUGUUCUCCGUUGGGCAUCGAAUACAUCUCAGUAAGGCCCUAAGAGGAAAACAAACAAGGCAAAGUCAGUCGGAUGACUAAAAGUAGUUGCAUGAUAAAUCAAGAUAACACUCGGUAAUUCAGAGUCGGACCUUGUCUGCUUCAUAGGAUUGGUCGAGUGGAGGGAUUCUCCUGGCCCCCCUGGGAUUAUCUUUGUUGCCAGUGAUACCCCUCAACCACUUCUCCACCGUAUCCUCGUCGACUUCUUCUGGAUGAACCCGAGUGGAAUCUUCAAUGCCCGAGUAUAUCCACAUCGGAUGGUCACGGGCCUGAAGUGGCUGAAUGCGUCGUCUGAGGAAGACUUCCAGUAGAUCCAUACCGGUCAUGCCCUCACGGAUGAGGUGGACCACUCGCUCAACCAGCACAUUCACCUCCGCUUUCUCCCCCGGGGUCACUUUCAAGGCGGAGGGCUUCUCUACGCGAGCCAUGGAAAAGGGAGGAAGUCCAGUCGACUGACCUGGAGUCGGCUGGUCUUUGCAGUAAAACCAGGUCGACUGCCACCCUCGGACUGACUCAGGAAGGAUUAUGGCCGGAAAAGAUCUCUUACCCCUCAUUUGAAUCCCAAGACCCCCACACAUCUGGAUCACUUUUGUCCUCUCAUCACUCGGAUUAGCUUUUUUGACCGACUGGGAGCGACACGUGAAAAUGUGCUUGAAGAGGCCCCAGUGUGGUCGACAACCCAAGAAAUUAUCGCACACAGACACGAAAGCGGCAAGAUACACGAUGGUGUUGGGAGAAAAGUGAUGAAGUUGUGCUCCAAAGAAGUUCAAGAAAGCUCGGAAAAAAGGGUGCGGAGGCAAAGAAAACCCGCGGUCGAUGUGGGUGGCGAGGGGGACGCACUCACCCUCCUACGGUCGAGGCUCAGUCUCAUCCUCCGGGAGCCGCGCGGAUCCAUGGGGAAUCAGUCCCUCCUCUGCCAAUUCGUCGAUGUCGUCCUGGCGGAUCGUCGACCAGAUCUAGUCGCCCUGGAUCCAGCCGUGCGGCAGACCGGACCUCGACGAAGAUCCGCCUCGGCUGGACUUCUUCCCCUUCGCCUUCGCCGUCGCCUUCUUCGCGCGCUCCAGAGCCACCGUCUUCUCUUUCCCCAUCGCAGCGGACAGAGCUCGAACGGAGCGGCGGCGCUGGGGCAGGGGCGGAUGCAGUGGGGAAAACUGAGUGGAAAGAAGAAGAAUGAGGGCGCACUGUUCAAAAAACCCCGGCCCGUCGCCUUAUAUGGGGUUGCUUCCGAGUGACUGACCUGUAGGCCCGGGCGAUCUUACCAAAUCCCGCAACAGUCGCGCGCGCGAUACGUGGCAAAAAAGGUGGCGCGAAAAUCGAGGCGGCCCUGCCUUAUCCAGCCCGAUUACUGCGGCCUCCUCCACCCCGCGCGCUUCCCAAAAUUCGAAUCCCGCGAGAUCCGUAGACAGCAGAACAACCUGUCAGACGGAAGAUCUUCCCCAUAUUAGCACUCGAAGCUCUUUCAGCAAAAGUUCACUCGACAAAACCAGGAAUGGACCAAGGCGACUGAAAAAGAAGUUGGUGUCAUCACGCUAAUUCGUCGAUCCAAACAAGACACAUCCGAAGCGCGAAAAGUGAGUCGGAAGUAUUUUCAAUUCCUUCUCCACUCAAACCCUGAUCCAUUCGGGGGCUAAUGAUGAAGCUAUGUACCUAGGGUAGGGUCAUGGGCCUGACCUAGAUACCCUCCCCAAGGACAUCACCCUGAAGUCAGAAGCGUUCAAAGGAUACCAUGAUCCACUCGACAAGAGACUUUCCACUCGAAGGAUAAACGCCACUCGACCAAAACAGAAACCACUCGACGAACGGAAGACCUAAAGUCACUCUACGCAGCAGCGGUCGGGCAUUUACUCUUAGACUUAAUAGUCAUUUAUAGCACUUUACUACGGACGUUACCUGUAACGCUCCUUCUUUAUGAACGUUGAACCCUGUGUAACGGAGAGGAGCUGGGGUCCUAGCGCACUCUAUAUAAGCCACCCCCUCCUCUGGGACAAGGGUUCGCACCCUCUAUAACACAUACACGCAUAAUCCAGUCGACCGCCUCGGGGCUCCGAGACGUAGGGUUGUUACUUCUUCUGAGAAGGGCCUGAACUCGUAAAACUCGUGUGUACAACUUCGCCAUAGCUAGGAUCUUGCCUCCUCAUACUUACCCCCCAUUCUACUGGCAGUCUUAGAUCCACGACAGCGGCCAUCCUCAGGCCCGGCGCGGCCAUGCCGGCCGGCCAUCCGGCGGCGGCGUUGCGGAGAGGCGGCGGCGAUGCGGGGGUCCUGCGCAGGGAAGGGGUGGGGGGGGAACGAAUCGCCCCGCCGCCGCCAUCCCUGGGUGCGGCCAGGCUUCGCCGGCCAGCCCUCUGGCAGCGGCGAUGCNNNNNNNNNNNNNNNNNNNNNNNNNNNNNNNNNNNNNNNNNNNNNNNNNNNNNNNNNNNNNNNNNNNNNNNNNNNNNNNNNNNNNNNNNNNNNNNNNNNNNNNNNNNNNNNNNNNNNNNNNNNNNNNNNNNNNNNNNNNNNNNNNNNNNNNNNNNNNNNNNNNNNNNNNNNNNNNNNNNNNNNNNNNNNNNNNNNNNNNNNNNNNNNNNNNNNNNNNNNNNNNNNNNNNNNNNNNNNNNNNNNNNNNNNNNNNNNNNNNNNNNNNNNNNNAGGUGCAACACAAGUCUGGUUUCCUCCUCGUUUGUUUCAAUCGCAUUGUCCAGCAGAGCUACAAGUCUGGUUUCAUCUUCGUUUGUUUCAAUCGCAUUGUCCUGCAGAGCGGAUAACGUGGUUGUGCAUCUUAGUCCACCGGCUCUACGCUUUGACUAACGAAUAUUGGCCAGCCUCGGUGUUAUCCGGGAGCAUGCGAGGUUUAUUUUCUGUGACUCUGCCUGGACUGAUCAAGGUGUUCUACAGGCUCUCUCUGAUUUUUUUUCUCCAGGGUAUAAGUUUAUGGAUUUCAACAAGUGCUCUGUGGAGACAGAGGCCCCGAGGCAACAAUCACCUCUGCUCACAUUGCAUCGUCGAUUGAUGAGGAGAAUAAAACCUUCACACCCAAAGACUUUGUGUUUUUUAAAUUUCUGCAACGGUGUUUUUGUAUAGUCUCCGCAAGUUAGCAUGUGGGCUCUUUGGCCUUUCUAGAAAAGUAAUAAUAGUGGUACGAGUGCGUUUGUUUGUACCUAAUACCGCAUUCUUAAGGUCAAAGCCUUCAUAACAAUGACUGUACUAGCGCUAAUGGUUGUAUUGUAAUGAGAUAAUGGAACUCUGCCUGAUUGCGGUCACCACCAUAUUGAAGUGACCAAAUAGGUUGUCUUCAAGUUUUGCUUUUUGUUCUUACUAAAUUCCCCAGCCAUCCGUAGCAACGGACAGAGAAGUGAACCCAAUGAUGUCAUUAACAAUGACAGCGUAGUUCAUCUAAAAAAGAGACACCAACGUUGUUGUAGAUUGUUCCCACAAAAAAAAGGUUGUUGUAGAUUGCAGUAAAAAUGACCAAACAGCAAGCAACCUCGGCUGCCGUAUAAAAUUACAUGUUGGCAUGUAUUACUCCUGGUACGGAGCACCGUAUGGAGCAGGGUGCAACACCGGAUGCAUGACAACGGGUGAACCAUUAUUAGCAACAUUAACCCCAUAUAAAUUGUUUCCAGUGGAGUUAGCUUACGUACUGUCACACUUGUUUAUGACCUUCCGUGGUGGUUGAUCAGGUUACCCCCAUGGUCAACGCUCUUGGUUAGCAGGUGGAUAAUUACUCUAUUCUUGUUGAAGGACACGCAAGGUGAAGUGUAAUGACGUAUGUUCUCAAAGGACCAUACGGUAUUCGGCCCAACCCAUUAAGCAGCGGUUGGUCCUUUUAUGUCUUUCAGUGUCAUUUGUGCCCAUAUAUAGCAGAAAAUGCUCUAGCCUUUUGUGCCGUUGGUCACUUGCUUUGUUCCAUCUGCCCUAUAUUAUUUUAUUUUGCUUUGUUCAGCCUUUCAAACUUUUACCUUCUCUGCAGCAGCAGUGCAGUACAAAGGUCAACAUUCAAAAUUGCUAUUGAUGCGAAAUAAAGACAGUUCUUUGGGAGUUUUGCAACAAAUUAUGUCAGUUUUUGCCGAGAUGAGAGGCAAAGCCAAGAAUCAUGCACAGUUCGACCAAUGUAUUCGAGGUGUAAGAGCAACUCCAACUAUCUAUUUUUUGUCCGUUUCGGUCGGCCGCGCGGACGCCCGUGUUCGCUUUUCUAUUUGGGUCGGCGCAUGCGCCAACCGCUGGCUCCACCCAUAUUUCUGGGACGCGGACUUUUAAAUAAAAAAGAGUAAUUGCAUUUAAAUUUAACAUAAUUAUAUACAUUGAAACCGGUCAAAUGUCGGUCAAAGCCCACUUAAAACAUUAGACAUUAAUUUAAAAAAAACUAUGUGCCGCCACGCGCGCUGCCCUAGGCAUUCUCGUCGUCUGACGCGGUGAGGUCGACCAGCUCUAGCCGCUCGCCCUCUUCCCGCUCCGUCAGCAGUGCUUUGGCCUUUGACUGCUAGAGGUAGGCUUGCUCUUGCACCAGCGUCGUGCCGAGCCNNNNNNNNNNNNNNNNNNNNNNNNNNNNNNNNNNNNNNNNNNNNNNNNNNNNNNNNNNNNNNNNNNNNNNNNNNNNNNNNNNNNNNNNNNNNNNNNNNNNNNNNNNNNNNNNNNNNNNNNNNNNNNNNNNNNNNNNNNNNNNNNNNNNNNNNNNNNNNNNNNNNNNNNNNNNNNNNNNNNNNNNNNNNNNNNNNNCGGGAGCCUCCUCGCCGGUGACGACGGAACCACGUACUACUUUGGGUUGUAAACUGAAGUCCUGAUGGACGUCUGCUACAUUUGCCACUUUUGUUUCUUGUGCGUUGGCUAAAUUAAAUUUUGUGCGCUUGAAGUUGAUACGUCUCCAACGUAUCUAUAAUUUUUUAUUGUUUCAUGCUGUUUUAUUAUCAAUCUUGGAUGUUUUAUAAUCAUUCUAUAGUCAUUUUAUAUCUUUUUUGGUACUAACCUAUUGACAUAGUGUCAAGCGCCAGUUGCUGUUUUUCCAUGUUUUUUACAUUGCAGGAAAUCAAUAUCAAACGGAGUCCAAAUGCCACGAAACUUCGCGAAGAUUUUUUAUGGACCAGAAGGAAGCUGUUGGGCCCUGGUUGCACCUAGGGUCCCAAGGAGGGGGCAACCCACCAGGGCGCGCCAGGAGGCCCAGGCGCGCCCUGGUGGGUUGUGCCCACCUCGGGUGCCCCCCGGACCGCCUCUUUGCUCUAUAAAUACCCCAUCCAGAAACCCUAGGGAAGACGACGAAAUAUUCAUCCAGCCACCGCAGAGUCCAGAACCACCAGAUCCAAUCUAGACACCAUCUCGGAUGGGGUUCACCACCUCCAUUGGUGCCUCUCCGAUGAUGCGUGAGUAGUUAUUUGUAGACCUUCGGGUCCGUAGUUAGUAGCUAGAUGACUUUCUCUCUCUCGCUGAAUUCUCAAUACAAUGGUCUCUUGGAGAUCCAUAUGAUGUAACUCUUUUUGCGGUGUGUUUGUUGGGAUCUGAUGAACUUUGAGUUUAUGAUCAGUCAUAUCUUUUUAUAUCCAUGAAAGUUAUUUGAGUUUUUUUGAUCUCUUAUAUGCAUGAUCUUUUAUAGCCUCGUAUUUCUUCUCCGAUAUUUGGGUUUUGUUUGGCCAACUUGAUCUAUUUAUCUUGCAAUGGGAAGAGGUGCCCGGUAGUGGGUUCGAUCUUACGAUGCUUGAUCCCAGUGACAGAAAGGAAAACAACAUGUAUGUAUCGUUGCUACUAAGGAUAAAACGAUGGGGUCUAUCUCUACAUAGAUAGAUCUUGUCUACAUCAUGUCAUCAUUCUUAUUGCAUUACUCCAUUCUUCCAUGAACUUAAUACACUAGAUGCAUGCUGGAUAGCGGUCGAUAUGUGGAGUAACAGUAGUAGAUGCAGGCAGGAGUCGGUCUACUAAUCUUGGACGUGAUGCCUAUGUAAUGAUCAUUGCCUGGAUAUCGUCAUAAUUAUUUGAGGUUCUAUCAAUUGCCCAACAGUAAUUUGUUUACCCACUGUUUGCUAUCUUUCUCAAGAGAAGCCACUAGUGAAACCUAUGACCCCCGGGUCUUCUUUCUCAUAUAUUUGCUUUGCGAUCUAUUGCACUUUUUAUUCAGAUCUAUUAACCCAAAAAUACAAAAAUACUUUGAUGCACUUUAUUUUAUUUGCGAUCUAUUUAUUCAAUCUAUUACAACUUUCUCCCGUCCACGCACCGUUUCUGGCACCGUUACCCGAAAGGGACUGACAACCCCUUUAACACGUCGGGUUGCGAGGUGUUGUUAUUUGUGUGCAGGGGUUGUUUACGUUGUGUUGCUUAGUUCUCCUACUAGUUCGAUAACCUUGGUUUCAUAUCUAAGAGAAAUACCUACCGCCGUUGUGCUGCAUCAUCCCUUCCUCUUUGAAGAAAUACCGACGUAGCUUCAAGCGACAUCCGAAGUGUAACAUCCCAAAAUUCUAAAUUUUGGAAUGUUAUAAUAAAUAGAUAGAUUUGAUUGUUUGUUUGAUUGUGGUGUGAUUGAUUGAGUGAAAUUCGAAACUUUUUGAAAGUUAAAUGAGAGGGAAUAAAAGGACUUUCCCAAACUUUCAUUUUGCUUUUAUGAUCUCCGUAAAUUCAAAUUCUUUUCACCACAAAACCCUAGAGAGAAGAUGACAUGACUUCUUCCAUUUAUUUAAAUGACAAGGGGUGUUGAAAAUAUUUGAAUUUCAUUUGAAAAUAUUUCCAAUUCCGAAACUUUAUGCAACUCAAUGAUUUUCACGAGAGAAGAUAAAAUGACUUCUUCAUAAUAUAUGAAAUAUGAGUUGGGAGUUUCAAAGGAUCAAAUUCAAAGUCCUUUUGGGAAUUAUUUUUAAUUUGGAGUUAUUUGGGUUUUAUUCAAAUUAUUUUUCUCCAAAAAUAAAAUACAUGGAAAAUAGGGUAACAUGAUUCCCUACAAUAGAAAAUUUCAGAGAACUAAAUUUGAAUUAAUUUUGGUAUCUUUAAAAUGAUUUUUGUUGGAUUUUAGUAGAGCAGUAGCACUCUUGGAUUUAUUUGAAUUUGUGGGAUUUUAUUUAAUUCUAGAAAAAUGCCCAUGCUGUAGGAAAUCUUUUUCUGAAAAUUUUGGUAUAUUAUAUGCCUAUAGUAUUUUUUAUUUAUUUAAGGUUUUCUUUAUUUUCCUUGCGCUAUUUUUUUUAAAAAACCUUCGCCGACUGGGCCGGCCCAGCACCCAGCCAGCCCAUCCGCGCCGUCGCCCCCAACCUCCCGACAGGAGCCCUGCUCCCGCACGCCACCGACGCCGCCGUAGCCGCUGCGGACUCCUCCCCGCCUCGCCUUGCCCCUCCCGCAAGCCUCUCCAGCCCUCCCCUUUAUAAGCCGGGCCCCGGGACCCCGACCCUCUUUUCUCUCCUCCUCCCUAGCCGCCGCACUUCGCCGCCGGAGUUGCGAGCUCCGGCGAGAUCCGCCGCCGUUGCGCCUCGCUCCACCGCCGCCUACGCCCGACGCCACCACCCCCUUCGGACUCGCCGAGCCGAGCCGCUCCUCCCCAUCUACUUCGCCGGCACCGCCGAGCCCUGGAGCCGCCGUCCCGUUCGAGCCGAGCCGCCGUCGCUGCCGUUUUCCUCGUCGCCGACGUCGUCAGCCACCGCGGUAACCGCCACCUGCCCUCGUCCGUCCGAUCUGGAUCCAUCGGUCCAGAUCGAGGUGUUUUUUUUCUCUGAAACGUUUUGUUUUAUUUAAUGGACGUUCGCUGGUUUAGCCUCUGUAGAGAACGGUUUUCGUCGCGUAAGUUUCUGUAGCGAACGUUCGCUAUUUAGUCUUUUUCUUUCAUUUUAGUUUUUCGCCAGGGACCUAUCUGUGAUGAUUUUAUUUACAGUUUAGUCCCUGUUCUUCAAACGGUCACAACUUUUUCUCGUUUAUCCAAAUCCAACGAAACCAACGCCCACUUCUUCGUUAUGAUCUCCUCUUUCCCGUAAAACAACAUAAACAGGUUUUUUAAAAUUUUAAAAUUUGAAUUAGAUCAGAUUUGAAUUCAAACUUCGUUUGAUCGUAAUUUGAGUUUCGUAGCUCUGUUUGAGUUGAUUCUUUUUGCAAAUUAAAGCUCUUGACCUAAACUUUCUGAUAAGGCCAAAUUCACAUAAUUUUGGUACUGUUAGAAAUUGUUUUAUGUUGCAAGAGUUAUUUGCUUGGUUUUGAUGUUUUCCGAAGUAUCUUCUUCGUUCUUUCUGAUCUUUUGAGUGAUUGCUUAUGUGUGGUUACCAUUGCUUGCUUACGAUAGAUUGACCGGAGUGUGACGAGUAGAACUAUCAAGAGUUAUGAGUGCGAAUCAUCUUCAUCAACAUUGCAGGCAAGUUCACACUUUGAUCAUACCUCUUUUACUACCCAAUUUUAUUGCAUUAGAUCAACCCUCAAACAUUGCAUGAUUAGGAUCUAAUUAAAUUGUGGGUUCUGGAAAGUAGAUGAGGUAGUACCUAUUGCCUUGUUUAUUAUCAAACCUUUGGGAGUUACUUCUACGUUUGCUUAUAUUGCUAUGCUAUGCUCGUAGACGUGGAUUGGGUUUGAGUGAAUUUCCAUGACAGAUGUGAGAUUGUUAAUUAAUGGUUCAACUUAAGGUGGCUACUUAAAUAAACAUCUGGGUGGAUUGAGGCACCUGGAGAACCCAGUGUUGCCUGUAUUUUUGGAUAUCCCGGAGUACCCGUGUGAUCAUCCUAUGGACCGCCACCCAGACUCAAAGGGGUCAUAAGAUUAUUCAUACUAGAAACUUCCGUGUGCAGCCACAAGCCAUUAUGGGCUCUGGCAUAGUUGAGUAAGUUGUGUGAGCUCUUGAAGAGGUGGACUAGCAGAUGUAGGGGGAUUGUAGGUGUAACGGUCUGCCCGGAGUAGAGAGUAAAUGCUUCUGAAAGACUGUGUCUCGAUCAUCCGUUUCUCAAACACCAAGUAGUGCGAGAAAUCCAACGGAGGAGAUCGAGUCUUGUGGGGAAAAGUGCGCAAACCUCUGCAGAGUGUACAAACUAAUCAUGAUUAGCCGUGUCCCCGGUUAUGGACAUCUUGAGUAUCUAGUUCCUGGAUUAUCAUGUGUAUCUCAUCAUGUUACUUAAUUUAAAUUUGAUUUGGGUUUAAUCAUGUUCUUAAUUGGGAUUGAGAUGCUUUCAACCAUCUCAAUGUUUAACAACCACCAUGAUAGUUAAAUAAGAUUUAUUCCUUUGCAGUAGGGAAAAAUUGGCUUUACGCAAAAAACAUUAUAACCAUAGAGCUUUUCCACCAGCCAUAUAUGCAUGUAGUGAUAGCCUUUGUUCAUCAUUUCUCUAUGGUGUGAAUUUGCCAGCAUAUUCCAUGUGCUGACCCGUUUUCGGGCUGCAACGUCUCAUGUUGCAGGAUAUCUUACGUCGAGUAAGUGAUACGUUAGGGUUACGAUUUCUACACUCAACUUUGCCGUUGGUGUUGAUGGGAAUCCACAACCUUGUUACUUCCGCUAUUUGGAUUGAGGUAAUAGUAUUUAUGUUACUUUAUACAUGUGAUUUACCUCUGUUAUAAAUCCUCGAGUACUGUGUGUGUCAGCAUACCGAUCCAGGGAUGACACUUAAGCAUAGAGACUUGACCGUCUGAGGUCGGGUCGCUACACGAAGUCAUUCUGUAGAUGCCCAUCUCUCAUUGUGCAUGUCAUUAUCUUCAAAGUAUUCUUUGUAUGCACUAUGAUUUGACUUCAUUCAAAGUAUUCUUUGUAUGCACUAUGAUUUGACUUCAUGAAAAGAGGGAGAUCUCCACAAAGUGAAACCUGCCUUGAGCAUUUGCAUUCAAAAGCAAAUUACUUAUAUGCACAUCUUUAGGGGGAGCCCCUUUCUAUUUGAUGAAGCCAAUGACCACGUUCCUACUUUCACAUAUUUUUAUCCCCGUAGAAAACUUCAACCAGUUUGUCAUCAAUCGUCAAAAAGGGGGAGAUUGUAAGUGCAUCUAGCGCCAACCCUAGUUGGUUUUUGGAGUAUUAACAACAAACUUGGUUGAGGGACUAAUGUGUUUGUGAGAUUCACAGGAUAACACAGGUAGAAGUACAUAUUGAUUCGGUUUAACCAUCGAAGAUGUCCCCUAAAAAUGUAUGAAGACAUUGAAGACAAUAGUGGUUCGCCAAGACAUUCGUGUUGAAGAUAAUGACAUGUGAAGACAUUCGCUUGAAGACAAUGAAGCGCGAAGACAUAGUCUUUUGGUAGUUUCAUUUUCUUCUUUUCUGAGUUGUAGGAACCAGCGUACUGUUAAGUGGGUCGAGGUAAACGAAGUCAUAAAACUUAUGUGAUGCUCAACCUAAAAUCCUAUAUCUUCGAGCGAAGACAAUGAGAGAAAAUCUCUUUCAGAGUUGGUUGAUUCGGCUUUAUUUGGAGCCCAAGUCAAGCUGUCGCAUGUGUUUCAAAUCCGACCGUUGGACACAUGUCAGUUGUCCAUUGACCGAGGGUCAUUUUGGACAUGUCAUGUUGGCUUGCCUUCUGGCUAUAAAUAACCCACCCCCUCCACCAUAAGUUGGUGGCUGCUCCGAGUUUGUGUGCGGCUUUUGUCGUUUGAGAGCAACCCACCUCCGAAGCUUUUGAGAGAGAAUCCUUGCAAUGAAAAACCCAAAACACCCAGAGCCCAAACUUUUUUGAGCAUCACUCAAGUCUUUCUGUUCCGCGUGGACCGAAGGCUUGUUACACUUGAAGACUGUGAUCUUUCAGUCAGUUAGGCAAGCAUUCUGAACAUCCAAGAGUCAUUGUGGAUUGUCAGUUAACAAGGUCUGUGAAGGUUUGAAAGUCUACCUUGAAGACUAACCUGAGCGAUUAUGCAAGAUCUGCGGGUCUUAGCUCAAGGGGAAUAAGGUGAAGACGUGGUCUUCUAAGUUCAAUCUUAGCCUUCCUAACCAGACGUACAACUGUCACGACAGUUGGGACUGGUCAAACAAAUCCAUGGUCUUCCCCGAGCUACUGGUUCUACCACUUCACUCCCUUACUUGUUGUUCAGUUUCGUGAAGCCUUUCUUAGCUCCUUCUGUUUAACGACACUGUGUGAAGACUACCACUUUGACUACUCAUUUGUCUUCGCACUAACUACUUGAAAUGUUCUGUACUACCUUGCAUGUUGUCUGUCCUUACUUCUCACCUCAUUUGUAUUGACCUAUCAGCAUGCUUAGUGUAGUCUAUUUUCCGUUGUAUCAUGUUUAGCUACUGAUUGAGUUACUCGUCUUUGAAGACAUUGCCUCUUUCGAAGACUUUCAUAAAAAUCGCCGAUUCACCCUCCCCCCCUCCUCUAGUCGAUAACUAGCACUUUCAGCUUCCCGCGGAACCACCGAAAAAGCAACAUAAUCACUUCAAUGCAGCAAGAAAAUAAAUAACAAACCGCCACAAGUUCGUUGAGAAAACACAAUCAUCCACAAAAUUUUGUUGUAGAUUGCAAACGUAAAGGAAAAAUGGUUAUCACCUACUCUGUUCCCACCAGAUCACAUUGUAUUUCAAAGGAACCACCGACGGGGUGGCGUGCUCCAGCGCCUGGCUGGGUGAAGCUAAACUCUGACGGCGCCUUUGUUUCAGAGGGAGAAGCUGGCGCAGGGAUGUUGAGAGAUGAGGCAUGGAGUAUCAUCUUCUGGGCUUGCAGGCAAUUAUAUUCUUGCCGUGAUGCUCUCAGGCCGAAUUAUGUGCAUGCAUGGAAGGUUUAUCUUUGGCUAUUCAAAUGAGUGAUUUGCCGAUAACUACUGAGUUGGAUUCAUCCAUGGCGGUCUCGUUGAUCCGGAGUAAGGGUGAGGAUAGAUCAAUUUAUGCGUCUAUUAUCAAAGAGAUCAAAUACCUGAGAGGUCUUUGGUUAUCUUGUAUUAUUCAUGUUUCUCGCUUUGUAGUUAGAUCUGCUAGAUUUGAAAAUAGAACCAUGACUUGGCGAGGGUCAGGUCCUCUUGAAAUGGUAGAACUUGCCAACAUUGAUAUUGUAUGAACACUUCCCGUGAGUAAUACAAGUUCUAUUCCCCGUAAAAAAAAGGUGACCAAACCAAAACCACAAAAAGAUACUCCCUUCAUUUUUGUAUACAAGGCCACAAACCCAUAUUACAGGUACCAAGGUAGAAAUUAAUGACCACUUAAGCCAAUGUUGCAAACUAGUCUUUUCUCCUCGCUUGACGUGUAAAUUAAUGUGUAUUUUUCUCUUCAACGCACAAUAAGACAACUCUCUCACUCCUCGCUAGUUGAUUAAUUCGGUGCAUCCAAACCAACAUUCUCACCCCCGCAUGCAUGCAUGGGGUAUUAAUGUUCUCGGUUGCUAGUACGAGGCAAAUCUCAUCAAUUUUAUCUCGGUUGAUGUUAGUGGCCUUGUAUAGCUGCAAAUUGUAAUUUUGAUAGUGGCCUUGUAUAAAAAAUAGAGGGAGUACGCAAGCAAGGGACCAUAAUUCUGCGUCCAUUCACCCGCGACAGUACGUGAGGAAACAAGCAAGCAACAUCGACCCUCAUACGAACAUCACACGCCUAAAUCACCGUGAGGUCAAAAAAAAAAAACAUCACACGCCUAAAUCACCGGUCUGAUUUGCUUCAUCGCGAAACGCCACCGACUCCCGAGACCCGACCCGUCGUUGGUGCUGGCUUGCAGUACACGACCCGUAUAGCUCUCCGUCCGUCCGAGCAAAAUAUCUGGGAAAAUAUCUCCGGGCAUCGUUCUCCACCGGACCCACCCACCCAGAGCCCACACGGCGCGCACACGCUCCUCGGGCCUACCCGGCCCAGGGGCGCGCAACCGGUGCCGCGCGCCGGGAAAACGGUCACUUUCCUAUUUCUCCCCGUCCACUGCUCCGUAUUAAAAGGCCCGUGACCUUUUUCGCUUUAGGCCCUACUCCAAUGCCAUGUGGGUCCCACGGUGCGCUUUGAAGAUCUUCUGCGCGCGUCUUUUUCCGUUUCCUUCGGGAGAGAGAGGUGCGGCAGGGUCUCUCCUCUCACUCAGCCUCGCUGUCUCGGGUUCUCUCUCGACAGGUCUCUCUUUGCCCUACGCAUACGGGCAUCGCCUGCGUGGCCCAGCCAAGGACACCUUCGCCAUACAAUACAUGUAGUAGAACAAUUUGUAAGAUGCAGCAAGUAUAAAGACGCGAGUUAAGGAGGUUCGACGCUUGAGAUUAGUCCCGAAUCCCGACGGCGACGGCGGAUCUACUUUUUUUUGCGAUCUGAUCAGAGGACAGGUGUUCCUAAACCUUUGUUGGCAUCCUCUGAUGAACCGAAUCACGGACCACCACCAGCACCGGGUCCGUCCGGGACACAUGACCGUGUCUGGGCUACAUGCAAAUCGGGACAUUCCAACCACCCACAAAAGUGCAUCCCCCUACGCCCCUAAUCUGGCUAGGAUCGUAAGCGCCAAACGUACGUCGUAUGCGCCCAGUACGCAUGGUCACCACUCUAUACGCUCUACCUCACAAUUGACAGGCAGAUGGGCACACAGUGUGGAUUUAUUAAGCGGGUGGGUGGUCAGCGAAUUAAGCAGCCAUUUCCUGUGCUCGAUUCAUGAGCCUGCAAGGACAAUCAUGAGCUGCACCAUAAGAAAAGAGAGUACUUGAGACUUGAGAGGAUGGCUUCUGUGCAGUGGGAAGGAAGCUGGAGCUCACUCUUGGGGCUAGCGUGCACUUUUAUCUCGGCAUUUCGGGGCUCUUUCCAUCACGGUUCACGGCCUUCAGUGUCACGUUGGCCUCGCGGUGUAGCGCACAUCGCCCUCGAUCUGCGGCUGGCUAGUUACAACAAGAUCCUCCGAAUGCCGCCCGCAAAGCUUGGGACCAUGCGUGGUACUUUGUUCUGAGCACCAUCGAUGCUCUCCUCGUGUAGGACCUGCCGAGCAUGAUGCCUCUGCCUUGCUUUUCGAAAGGAAAAGUGAAUUCUUCCAUGGAAUUCAAUCAUCAGUUCGGCACUAGGAGACGGAAAGUAUAUUUGUACUGCGUGAUUUAGCGCAUGCAUGUUCGAAUCGGUUUAACUAGUCCAACACAGGAGCUAACCAAAUUUUGUUUGUGGUGCUUUAGAGCACUUUCCUUGACGAUGCAGGGAAGCAUGCAGGUUCUCUUGGUGCCUUUAUUCCACGACCUUUUCUCCGGUUUCAGAAACAGUAAAAACCAAUCCUCGCGUAGUUGUCAGUCACGCUGAAAGUUGAGCGCCUUCUCAUACGGCAGAGAAACAAGCGCCACCGUGAGGGAAAGAUGACAAUUACGCCACUAAUAGACUAGUACAGUACUGUUGUACACCAGAAGUAACUUUUUUCACCUCCAAUAAAUGGAACUGACAGCCUGAAGCCUUUGAAGUGUACUAUACACACUAGACGGUCCCCUUCUGCUCCAGUGAAAAAUCCUCCUCGCCCGGCGGCCUCCUCCCCGGUCGUCGCCGUCCGGGCAGUAACUGUCGCGCGCUCACUGUCUUGCGCCGGACGAACUGAGCCACCAGCACCAUCAGCUGUAGUAAGCAUCAAAGUUACCGGAACUCCGGGGCAGGGCGAUGUAAGCUUCAGUCAGUCUUCAGACUUUACGCUUACUCAGGACAGGCACGAGUAAACGAGACAGUGAAAUCCACCACUCAGUCAGUGUGAGGGGUGUGAUACUGAUACUGAUAGGUACCCACACUGAGUACUGCUGGAGAGCUUAGUUACCGGACCUGUAAUUAUGCCGGGUUAGCUUUGCUUGCAAGGGCCACAUUAGAGGUACGUUUCCAAGCGUAAACCCUACUCGUAAAUCGUAAUGCCUGUCCAAAAAUGAAAAGCAGCCCCCGUGUUGACACUUUUGAGGGUGCUACAUACACGUACUACUUGGUUUGGAAGGUCAAAAGCGUGCGUGGGUGAGUGAGUUGGGGGAGAAGUGUCUGGAGCGUGUGCUUCUGUCCCCGUCACCGUGUGGCACGGUUGAACUGCCUCCUUGCUGGUGAUCUUGGUUGGCCAUCUGCGUGGGGUGGCUGCGUCGCCUACUGAUCGACAAGUCCUUUCACGGGCUGGUCGACCCAUCGCCGAAACGUAAAACACGAGCCCGAGUGCCCGACCAUGGUGCGGAAAUGGAGGGCAAAAACAAUCUGAAACGCAACAGGUGGCUGGGAGCACGUACGGCGCAUAAUGGCAUGCGGCUGAUGCGGCGCCGGCGCCGGCGUCGUGGAUGAGAAUGAUAUACGGCUGAUAUUAUACACUUUCAAGUGCACGCUGCUGACCUGUGAGACCGUUAAAAAUUACGUACAAUAUUUAGGGGGUUGGACUGUGCAUAAAUUUAUUUACAUGCGGUCUUUAAAAUGAGAGCGCUGGUGUGGUGCGCCUGGUUGGUCACAGUAUGAAACGGUCGAAGAGUAUAAAAAUCAUGGCUGCUUCUGUCCCUGCGGCUGCGCAGGUCAUAAGAAGAAGAAGAAACAAAUUUGUAGCCACAUUUGACGGAGAAUGUUGAUCUACUUUUAUAAGUUCUGCUUGGCAUUGCCGCAUUAUAUAAACCUCGCAGUUCAACUUGUCGUGGCAUGCAUUUGACUUCUUGCAUCAGUUAUGGUCUUAUGGGACAUCGCAUUUUCUUUUUGUUCUUUCCUUCAAGAUGGAUUCAUCCACUUUCCAUACAGCCGUCUGCGGUAAACCUAAUAGACUAUGUCACAAUUGAAAAAUAAUGAUGACGGACUCUCACCACGGUUGGCGUUACCUUGUGUGUAGCUUCCAUACGUUGCCAAAAUUAGAGACGGUGGCAAGCGAGUAUAAACUGAACUAACAUAUCGUAAUUCGGCUAACUGGUUUUUCAAGUGUUGAUUCAAUAGGAGGCACGGUUAAUCGGGCGCCGCUCCGCACCCCUAGUAGCACCGCAUCAAGUUACUACAUAUUGCCCUAGGCACGUAUACGCUAAGUGUGUAAGUACAUUCUUUUAUCAUACCAAUACAACAUUUUCUUGUGAAUCGGCCAUCAGGGGAGAAAUCCCCACUUGUAUAUAUUGCUCUCAAUUCAAAAGAAAUUGAGCUGGUUUACAUGGGAAACCAGGUUAAAAAUCAAAACCCAGUGUACGUGAAAAAUAGGAUAAAAAUUUUAACAACCCAAGGGGCAAUUGGAAAUUCGCAUGACAUGCACCUACAUAUCCUUCUGCGUCAUUUAAUUUGUGCCAAAGUUGUUCCGGCGGAAAAUUAGUUAGAAAAUGGAUGCAAAUUCGGAAGCCUCUCAAUACGAGGUAAUAUACAUGUUUAUCUUGUACAAAUACAUGAUGCAACUGUUUUGGUAUGUCCUAGUUGCUGUGUGUACGGUACAUCUCCCUGUUCGAGCCGUUCAUUUAAACUGGUCAUGUUCUUCUUCCUUGCUCCAUUUGUUCCACUCCAAGGUUUCAAUACUCUUCUCUUUUGUGCCAUCUACGUUAUUCCUUUCAAUCCUCUCAUCGUCUUGUUUCUCUAUUUUUUUUCUUCUAUGCGAUUAAUUUUCUUUACCUAAUUUGAACUCAUCUGUUUGUCCUGUUCUGUUGAUUCGCUAUUUCAUCGCAUCAAUGUUGUCAUGCAUAAUUACAACUUUUUUUGCCAACCUUUUAUUUUCCUAUGAUACAUGAUGUGCUCUCUCAAAUGUCAGUCUUUCGACUAACCGAUUCAAUUCAUGUAUGAAAAAAAUAUCAAUUUUUGGAAACUGUUUGAUGACUUCCUUGUAAAAUUUUCCUUAUCAGAUAUCAUCACGAUUUCCUUCUUCCAACCGUAACGAUUUUUGUACCAUUUGAUUUUAUUUUCACUCCUACGAUUUUAGUUCUUAUUCUGACAAGUUAUAUUGUACGAAACUUACUGUUUGUUUUCCUUGCGAACAUAAGGAUCACUUCAGUUCUGCUCCUUAGAACUUGAAUUCCGUCCGGUUCUCUGGAACAUACCUGGACAUGUCCGUGUCCGUCAGUUUCGUUCUUUUGUUUAAAUUUCUCAUAUUUAUUUUUGCAGGCAUCCAACAGGUCGUCACCUUAGAUUACCUAACAUUUAUUUUCCGGUACGCAGUCCAUGGGCAUGGCAACUUCUUUCUCCCUAGUCGUUUCCCCUCCUCUUCUUCCUUUCUAUUGUAAUCCUACAGAUCUAUUUUCUUCUACCUCAUACCGGGCGUUGCUCCCACCAGUUGUCAGAAUUUGCAUGACCCAACCAUCGGCACCGUUUACAUCCACUCACACUGGUCUUCUGCAUUACCCUCCCAACUCGCCCUACGCAAGAAACCCCCAAUUGAGCUCAGUCCAAUUCAUGAAAUCCACAUAAAUUGCCACAUAUCCCUCUUAAUCUCCUCCAAAUGAGGGCCGGAUGGUUGUUUUCCACCAAAUUGCAUGUUGGUAUUUUUCUAGUGCGCAGUCUGUUACAACCUCAGAGGCUUGUGCGCCAUGACAACGUUCUGAGGAACAAGUGCUUCUCCCUCUUUUUUCCAGCAGACUGAAAAGAAAGAACGACAAGUUUCAAAUAAUUAUCCAAAUUUGGUUCAUGAGAUUUGCGACUUAAUUUUUAGUUCAUUAUUGAUUAUUCAUAAGUAUGUGGGCCCUUGUUGACUGAACAAGAUGUAUAUUCAACUUAUGUCCAAUUAACCGACAUAGUUAUUGCUGAUUGAACAAGUAAAUUGAACCCCUAUUACACUACACAAUGGAAUAGAAGCAGAACUAAGUAGGUGUCAAAAUUAGGAGGAAGUGUUAGUAGCAUAUUUGAGUUAGGGGUGGAAAAGGAAUUUUCCCUAAAAGGAACUAAACUAAAUGGAGGCGGACCUUGAGUACUAAAGGGUUCUCGAGGGUUCCCGAGUCAUUGCUACUAAUAUGAUCCGCACAACAUUUUUUUAAAGGAGGAAAUCCCCUGGCCUCUGCAUCAGAGUGAUGCAUGCGGCCAAUUUAUUGAUCAAUAGUGCAAAACCAGAGUUUGAGGUUCAGUGCUGGCUCACAAAAAGGAGCACAAAAGGAGUAAAGACAAAAAUUGCCAGAACCGGCAAAAAACUGGCCAAGAUGACUAAACACCUAGUCUAUUAUUGGAUCGCCAUCCAAACCGGUUGUAGAUAACCCGUGCUACCGUCUUCCAUCGGUUGCACCCAGUAACCAAAAGCUCCCUGGAGUCCACAUGAGUGAGUAACGAUCACGUACAGAUCCAAGCAGUGGCCCUGUAGAUAACCUAUAAAAAAUUAAUAAAAUUUUGUCUGUUAAAGAUCAUAUCAUUUCUACAGUUCCAUAUAGCCCAAAGUAUUGCGCAUAUCGCUAUCCGAAUAUGUCCCGGAAUAUUUGAUUCCACGCCAAUUAGCCACGUCCAAAAUAACGUGUUGAUACUAAUUGGAGGGGAAACAUUGAAAGCUAUAUGUAUCGUAAGCCAAAGAAGUUUGGCGAGUGGACAAUCGAGAAAGAGGUGUUGUAUGGUUUCAUCCUGGUCACAGAGACAACUCAACAUGGCAAUGGGUACCCGCAACCCGCGAACCCGGCGGGUUAAAAACCUAUUAGGGUAAGGGUUUGGAAGAAAUAAAUACCCAUGGGUUUAUAAAUGGGAAAAAUUGUGCCCAUCGGGUAAGCCGGGUAUGGGUACGGGAAGGCAAUACCCAUACCCGUGUACCCUCAUACCCAUAUACUAAUUUCUUUUAAUAGUAGGCUCAACGUGUGAUUCACUAAAGGAACCUAGCCAUUGUAUCCAAGGAUAAUGCAACCGCUAGCCUCGACCCAAAAUCCUCCCCCCUUACGCAUGUGCAUGUUCUUGUUUUGUGGACUCACAAUUUUGUUGAUCUUAUGAUAUAGUUUCCUUCAUUUGAUUAUUUCGAAGUAGGGGCUGCAGAAGUACCUUCAAUAAAGUAAAAUUUGAGAAAAUUGUGUCCCUCCUGUUUGUCUUGUAAUUGAAAAAAAAUAGAUGUGAAUGUUUCUCUAAAAGUUCACGUACCGACUACUCAACCAUGUAUAUAACUGGACAAUGUUUAGUGCCAUCUAUUUUGUGCUUAUUGAUAUCCAUUUAUGAAUACUAAAAUCAUUCUUUAUUCCAUCGCACAGAAAAUCAUCAUCUAUAUGCGCUCAAAUGCUAAAAUGUGGUAUACAUGUGUAAAUGUUGAAAAAUACAUGAUGAAGUGUGAAUUGGGUAAGGUGGCCGAGAUGGGUAUUUUUACCCGCGGGUAUUACCCGCACCCGACCGGGUACGGGUAUGGGAACAAUUUGAAACCCUAUGUGCGGGUACGGGUACGAGUAUGGGCGAAAAAUAAUGAGACGGGUACGGGUUUGGGCGACCAUUACCCGCACCCGAACCCUGCGAGUGCCAUGUUGAGAAACAACAUCGAGAACUACCCACCCAUCUCCGGUUUACCAAAUUAUCCUUGGUUACAAUCACUUCCUUGUGGACAAACCACAUGAAGAUUUAGAUUCUUAGCGAGACUUUAAUCUUCCAGAUAUUAAGUGAUUUCGGGAUUGGCCUAGAGUCAAUUAGAUACAAGUACAUAGAUUUCACCGUGAAACUACCGUUCCUAGAUAAUUUCUAGUAAAUUGUGUCUGUGGUGAGAGAGUUGAACAUCCAUCAACCUCCGCAAGCACCAGGUGCACCCACGAGUUCCAAUGUUCCCCCACGAGAGACCUCCUGAAUUGAAUGUUAAUGGGAACCGACUGUAAGACUGUAGCAACAUAAGCUUCCAUACCUUGUACAAUAUUAUAGAGAGUGGGAUAUUGUAAGGCUAAAGACGUUUACCCUAACCAUGUAUCCUCACCGAACCUAGUUGUAUUACCGUUACCAAUGUUAAACUUCACCCUCUGAAAAAAGGUUUCCUCUGUCAGCAAAAAAUAAUUUCUUAUAAAAGAUCGUUAUUACAAAAAUUGUCAUAACUCAAAUUACUACUUUGCUUGAGAUAAAAGAAGACAUGGUUCACUUUUGUUGUGGAUGUCAGCAAUAAAUAAGAAAAACCCUAUUUCACUCACAAUUUUUGGAAAGAAUUGUUGAAACUGUACCACAUGAGAGCUGAUAAGGAAAUGCACCUCACUUUAGCUAAUGUCCCUGAUUGCUCCAUGUUUGUCUAGCUACCCAAUGUUCCUGUUACUCAUCCAUGUAUGUACUUUUUUUACCAUACUUCUAUCUAAAUUUUCUUUUUCAUAUUUUGAUUUCCUCCUUCCAGAGGGAAGUUUUCCUGGCAAAAUUGUUCUGCCGGAGAGCAAAAGUGCUCCGCCAAAGUUCCACCUUGCAAACGACGGCGAGAAGUCCUUGAGUCACCAUAGUAGUAGAUGCAGGCAGGAGUCGGUCUAUUUGUCUCGGACGUGAUGCCUAUAUACAUGAUCAUACCUAGAUAUUCUCAUAACUAUGCUCAAUUCUGUUAAUUGCUCAACAGUAAUUUGUUCACCCACCGUAAUACUUAUGCUCUUGAGAGAAGCCACUAGUGAAACCUAUGGCCCCCGGGUCUAUUUUCCAUCAUAUUAAUCUCCCGACAGCUAUUUCUUUUGCCGUUUUUAUUUUACUUUCUUUACUUUGCAUCUUUAUCAUAAAAAUACCAAAAAUAUUAUCUUAUCAUAUCUACCAGAUCUCACUCUCGUAAGUGAACGUGUAGGGAUUAACAACCCCUUAUCGUGUUGGUUGCGAGGAUUUAUUUGUUUGUGUAGGUGCGAGGGACUCGUGCGUGGCCUCCUACUGGAUUGAUACCUUGGUUCUCAAAAACAGAGGGAAAUACUUACGCUACUUUGCCGCAUCACCCUUUCCUCUUCAAGGGAAAACCAACACAGUGCUCAAGAGGUAGCAGGCUGCCACCUGGGCGUGUGGAUCCCUGGUGGGUCCCUUCUGGCCCAUUCUUGCUCCAUAAUUCAUCAUAUAUUCUGAAAUAAUUCUCCAAAAAUCUAUGCUGCAUUUUGAGCUUCGAAGAAUUGCUUUCUCUUAUGUUGCAUUUUCAUGUCAGAUUGCCAGCUGUUCGUUAAUCCCCCUAUCUUUGUAUUCCUUGCAUUAUAAUAGAGAAAAGACAUUAGAAUUGCAACAUAUUAUGGAAUACAUCAUUGAAUUAGAAUAAAUUAUAGUAAAAAUAAAUAUGCAAAAUAGACGCAUCACUUUGCCACCCUAUCGAGGGUACUCGCGGGUUUACGUAACGUGGGCACCUACAAGAGAGAAUAUACUAAUUGUGUGAAGGAAAAAUAUCUCGUUAAUAUUUGCUUUAAGACCUAUAGUAGGGUUGUGGUAUGUACUCCGAUCUGGCAAUUUUUGUGUAAUUGAGGCUGCUUUAGUCGUCACUCGAACCCUAGAUAUCUUCUGCAAAUACUUACCGGUUUGAACAUUGCAUAAUUUUUAUGUAGCUCAUACCAGAAUUAAUAAGUUACGUCAAACCUACCGACAUAAAAAUAGUUGUGUCAACAAGAUUCUCUUCUCUAGGCCAUAUAUUUUUGAAAUAAUAAUAAUCACAUAAGCCACCAACAACAUGCAUCAAAUUGAAUGGAUGCCCUUUUGCUACCUCUUGAGCACUGCGUUGGUUUUCCCUUGAAGAGGAAAGGGUGAUGCAGCAAAGUAGCGUAAGUAUUUCCGUCAGUUUUUGAGAACCAAGGUAUCAAUCCAGUAGGAGGCCACGCACAAGUCCCUCGCACCUACACAAACAAAUAAAUCCUCGCAACCAACGCAAUAAAGGGGUUGUCAAUCCCAUCACGGUCACUUACGAGAGUGAGAUCUGAUAGAUAUGAUAAGAUAAUAUUUUUGGUAUUUUUAUGAUAAAGAUGCAAAGUAAAAUAAAAGGUAAUAAAAAUAACGAAGUGUUGGAAGAUUAAUAUGAUAGAAAAUAGACCCGGGGGCCAUAGGUUUCAUUAGAGGCUUCUCUCGAGAGCAUAAGUAUUACGGUGGGUGAACAAAUUACUGUUGAGCAAUUGACAGAAUUGAGCAUAGUUAUGAGAAUAUCUAGGUAUGAUCAUGUAUAUAGGCAUCACGUCCGAGACAAGUAAACUGACUCCUGCCUGCAUCUACUACUAUUACUCCACACAUCGACCGCUAUCCACCAUGCAUCUAGAGUAUUAAGUUCAUAAGAACAGAGUAACACUUUAAGCAAGAGGACAUGAUGUAGAGGGAUAAACUCAUGCAAUAUGAUAUAAACCCCACCUUGUUAUCCUCGAUGGCAACAAUACAAUACGUGCCUUGCUGCCCCUACUGUCACUGGAAAAGGACACCGCAAGAUUGAACCCAAAGCUAAGCACUUCUCCCAUUGCAAGAAAGAUCAAUCUAGUAGGCCAAACCAAACUGAUAAUUCGAAGAGACUUGCAAAGAUAACCAAUCAUACAUAAAAUAAUUUAGAGAAGAUUCAAAUAUUGUUCAUACAUAAACUUGAUCAUAAACCCACAAUUCAUCGGUCUCAACAAACACACCGCAAAAGAAGAUUACAUCGAAUAGAUCUCCACAAGAGAGGGGGAGAACAUUGUAUUGAGAUCCAAAAAGAGAGAAGAAGCCAUCUAGCUAAUAACUAUGGACCCGAAGGUCUGAGGUAAACUACUCACACAUCAUCGGAGAGGCUAUGGUAUUGAUGUAGAAGCCCUCCGUGAUCGAUGCCCCCUCCGGCGGAGCUCCGGAAAAGGCCCCGAGAUGGGAUCUCACGGGUACAGAAGGUUGCGGCGGUGGAAUUAGGUUUUUGGCUCCGUAUCUGGUAGUUUGGGGGUACGUAGGUAUAUAUAGGAGGAAGAAGUACGUCGGUGGAGCAACGUGGGGCCCACGAGGGUGGACGACGUGCCCAGGGGGGUAGGCGUGCCCCCCUACCUCGUGCCCUUCUGGUUGAUGUCUUGACGUAGGGUCCAAGUCUUCUGGAUCACGUUCGUUCCAAAAAUCACGUUCCCGAAGGUUUCAUUCCGUUUGGACUCCGUUUGAUAUUUUUUUCUGCGAAACUCUGAAAUAGGCAAAAAGCAUCAAUUCUGGACUGGGCCUCCGGUUACUAGGUUAGUCCCAAAAAUAAUAUAAAAGUGUAUAAUAAAGCCCAUUAAUGUUCAAAAUAGAAUAUAAUAUAGCAUGGAACAAUAAAAAAUUAUAGAUACGUUGGAGACGUAUCACCUUUUUUCUUUCAUGUGAAAAAACUUCUCUUCGUGAGAAACUCGAGUAACUCAUGAUACUAAAUUCAACAAGGACUAUACGUGAGAGGUAUGGAGCAACUCCAUAGGCCUAGCUGCCAUCCACCCAAGGCCCCCACCCUCACUCCCCCUUCCCUAACCAUUAUCCACAGAGUCCUCCAUGACAGAUGGUGCAGAGAGGCUACACCCAUCCCACCCAUCGCACGUGCAACCCGCUCUCCGUAUUCCUCAGAUCCAAAAGAUCCCCAACUCCUCAUGCUUCACCUCCCCUAGAUCCUACAUUGUGUGCCCGCCAACGCACGCUACUGGCAGCCGAACUUGAAGCCUUAGCCAGAUGUUGCUCACGCCCUUAGGUUGUCGGGUCUGAUUGAUUUGGUUCUCAUGGAGGGGGUGCCAUCUCGACCAUGACAACAACAUCACAUGCACGUCGUUUCUCGUGUUGGUGGCAUGGUCUUCAUCCCCAUUCCUUUCCCCGCGUCAAACUCAUCAACAUUUUUUGGAGCUUCCUAAAAAAUCUCCACCUGGUCGCCAUUUGAUUCCCCCUUUUUGGUGUCACUCAUGUUGUCAUGUAGUGCCCUUCGUUUAAAUCUCGCCCUGUGAAAUGACAACCCAUCUAGUGGAGAUAGUUUCAUUGGUGACAUUCUAGACCCUGUCGUUCUAGAAUCGCUCUUUCUCCAUAUUCUCAUGGUCAAUGACCACCCUUUCACUAGAGAAUUUGCGCAAUAUUCUCAUGCAUACUCGCGGAGUCAGAGUUUUCUUGUGUUUGCCCGGAUAAUAGAUACCUUUCUUAAAUACUUAGCGGUUUGAAUAUUUAAUAUUUUUAUGGAGCUCAUGGCACAAUUAAUAAGUUGUGUCAGUCUACCCGCAUAAAUAUAGUUGUGCCGAGAGGUUUCUCUCCCUUAGGCCCUAUAAUUUUUAAGAAGUAAUUGCGAUCAAAUAAGCCAUGAACAAAAUGCAUCAAGUUUAACGCCAUUUUUGCUACAAAAAGUUGUCUUCCUUGAAAUUCAUGCAUCUCAGGAUAUCGCAUUCAACAAUGACUAUAGGUGAGAGAAACCGGGUGGCUAGAGGCUGUGCGCCAUCCACUCAAGGCCCCACCCGCACACCUCCCUCUCCCCAACAUAUUCGUUGGAGUUUGUCGAGCAUAGCCGCGUGGCAGACGGUGGUAGCGAGGCUGCACCCAACCCAUGCCUUGCACCUGCAACCUUCUACCCUUUUCACUCGUAUCCAAAAUAGUCCCAACACCUCGUGCUUCACCUUCCCUAGAUCCUACCAUAGUGUGCCCGUAACACACGCGUUGGCUUGGAUACGACUGCCAGCCAAACUCAAAGCCUUAGCCAGAUGCUGCUAGCAUCCUUAGGCUGUGUGAUUUGGUUUUCAUGGAGGGGGGACGUUUGGAGAGUCGAUAAAUGGGUGACACCUUUGGCCAGCACUCACCCUAGAGGCUUUGACCUGCCUCCCUCAUGCCUCUGCGAUGGGCUUAGGGAUGUGGGGGGUCCCUAGUCAGCUCUAUCUGACCAUGACGACAAAAUUACAUACAUGUCAUUCCUCAUGUUGGUGGUGUGGUCUUCAUGUCCUUCCUUAUCCCCACGUUGAACUCGUCAACUUUGUUUGUGAUUUUCCUCCAAAAUCUACACCUUCUCGCCGUUUGGCACCCCUUUCGCCGUCACUCUCGUUGUCGUGCAAUACCCUUCAUUUGCACCCCCGCCUUGGGCAUUUACCGCCCUUCUAGGGGAGAUGGUUUCAUUCGUGACACUCUAAGACCAUGUCAUUUCAUCAUCGCUCUUUCUCCCUACUCUCAUGGGCAAUGAUCACCCUAUCAGUAGAGAAUUUGCGCAAUCUUCUCAUGCAUGCUCGACGAGUCCGACUCUUUUCUCGUCUUUAUUUACAGUCUGCUUUGCUCUGGACAAUGCCAACCCUUCCAGUGAGUGAUCGAUGGCAUGGGGUUGUCGAUGACGUAACUCCUUGGGUGUUUACUUCAUGUGGCCUUUCCGUGCUCGAGAUUUCGGCGUUGCCUUGGUUGGGUCUCUCAUGUCGUGUCCUUUGGAGUUUCUCACUUUUCCUUUGCUAGUGGUGCCUUGUAUUACGGUUUAAUACAACCUCGGUUGCUUCAUCCAACCCUCUAGAUGUUUAGCUGGUUGCCAUUUACACCGUGCCAUAAUCUUGUACUCCACUUAGUAUUUCGAGUUUCUAGUGUGUUUGCUUGGGCAAGGUGCAUUGUCCAUCUGGCUAGCUUCCAGAAAUAUAUUCACGUGGCUAUGUCCUCUUGUAAACUUUUUUUUUUGAGGGAAUGUCCUCUUGUAAACUUUCUUGAAAAUAGAUUAAGCGAGUGACAUGUAAAGCUUUUCUAUAAACAUCCGAAGUUGUCUCCUUCCUCCCGUUUCAAAGUUUCUCAACAAGCACCCCCCGGAGCACGCAAAACCUACAGUGCACUGCACGAAAAAUCCCACUGCCGUGUGGCCCCACGCCGCAGGCGCAAAAGAACAGAGAGAGAAGCGUCGAGAAACGUUGAACGGAAACAAAGGGCGGACGCGCGCAGGCGGCAGGCCCCCUGCUCGGAGCCUCGGGGCAAAGCAAACCCGGGGUGGGUCCCGCCCGCCACCGCGGCCCCACCAGUAAGGGUGGGCGGGACCCGCCACCGGCCCUCCCCUCCCCGCCCCCACUCACUUAAUAAAACCACCUCCCACCUCCUGCCGAGCCUGUCUCCCCUUUAAACACCACCGAUUCGCGCACCGUCCCUCUCGCCCGCGCACCACACCGCACCACGGCGCCAGGACGAGCACGGGAGCGCCACCGGAUCGAAGGAUAAAGGCCCUCUCCUCCCCCCGGUCGCCGGAUCCGGCCCUCGGGGGACCGAUCCCUCCGCGCCGGCGAUGGACUCCUCCUCCUCCUCCGCCUCCGCCCACGGCAGCGGCGCCGGCGCCGGCCUGCUGGGCCGCGGCGGGGGCAAGGGUGGGAGCAGCGGCGCCGGCAAUGGCAGCGGCAGCGGGAGCGGGAUCGGCGGGGACAGCACGUCGACCAUCGGCGGCGGCGGCGCGUCGGCGGACGCGUGGACCCGGCUCGUCAGCUCCGGCGUUGAGGACGACCUGGUGUGCGCCGUGGGAGCCGGGGCGGGGUUCGGGGCCGGAGGGCUGCCGUACGGCUACUUCCUCGACGCCUGCUUCCUCUGCCGGAAGCCGAUCGCCAGCAACCGCGACAUCUUCAUGUACAGGUCCGCUCCCGGCGCCCUCCUCCCUCCGUCCAUCCUUCCUCCCCCUCCUCCCUCCGUCCGUCGUGUUUGCCUGUGUCUUUGGUACGGGCCGGUGGGUCCCCGGGCAGGGCCGCUUCCGGCGUGUUCGGAGCUGGUAUUUCUCGGCGGAACAAGAGAAAUUUUGACCGCCGGCCGGGGGAAAAGCCGGAGCCAGUGCCGGCCUGAUUCUCCAGAAAAGAAAAGAAAAAGGUUACAUAAUGCCAUUCGUUUCUUGGUGCUAGGACAAACAAGGGAAGGGAUCGGUGCGGGCGCUUUUCCCUUUUCUUCUUCUUUUUCAUGAUGGGCUAUUGGUGCAGAGGCCCUGUCGUCUGUGUCGUGCGCGUACGGGUGGUGGUAGCUUACUCUGCGCGUGAUUCCAUUAAAUUCCGCGCUGGCCUGAAUCGCCGGGCUUAAUUACGGUCACGAUUUCAUCUGCACGCUUGCAUGUGGUGUGGAGUUACCGCUGAUUUUUCUCUACAAAGUUACUGACCGGGAUUCAGGAGAGACUUAGCUGCUAAGCAUGUGUAUUUUUUUUGGAUUAUCAUCAUCAGAGCUUCUGAUAGAUGCCAAAGGUGUUCAUCCCACUGCUUUACUGCUGUUCGUUCCGUCUGGUGGAUGGGUUCAACAAAAACUGUGGCUUUUUGUGUAGGGUCCUUGGGUUUCAUUUUGAGAUUGUGAUUUCGCCGCAUGAAGGUGAAAACUAUAUGGUUCCUUGUGUAUUGGUUUGGAGUGGAGGAUCAAGCAGACGUUCAGUAUGAAAAAACGUAGUACGAUCUUUCACUAAUUGCAUGUUUACCGCUAACGAACAUUUCCAUUUGUGAGGGAAGGUGUGAUAAGACAGACAUGUUACAUGACUAGUUCGUUGAGUGAUUGCCAAGCCAUGUGUUUACUGGUUCAUGCCAUGCCAUGCAUACACUGAGAUUAACCUGAAUCCUUCGUUUGAGCAGAGGGGACAUCGCGUUCUGCAGCGAGGAGUGCAGGACGGAGCAGAUGGAGGCGGACGAGGAGAUGGAGAGGAAGGAGAAGAGCGCGUCCGCCAAGAAGCUGUCGCAGAGGCCGCCGUCCCUGGGCGAGGUGGAGUCCCCGCCGCGGCCGCCCAAGACCAGGGCCGGCUCAAUCCUCGCCGGCUGACAGUGCUCCUUUCCCCCCAGGCCAAGACCCCCCCGUCAGCACCACCACCGUCAGAAGAAGGAAAGAAAAUUACCGACCGCUUAAUUACUUACAGCCAGCCAGGCAGCCAGUGACAUAUAUGGGUUUGUGUUUUUUGUUUGAACCCCUUGCGCUUUUGGUGGUGCUGCGUUGCGACCAUGGUUUUUGCGCCUGCAGCGGCAGCAGCCUGUAUCGGUGACGAACAUGUAUAGGUUAGAGACGGACUGAAGGGAAAUGGUGGCCAGUGCCUGCCGGCUAUUGGGAGUUACUGCUGCUUCCCAGGCUCUGCUCUUAAUUAUUUUUCUUUGUGUUUUGUACUCUAGUAGUUGUUGGUGAAUGGUGAUGGUGGUGGUGGUAGGUUUAAGGUUUUUCUAAUGAAGCGGAUGGAACAUAUGGGUAAAGAGGAAACUGACAUGUGGGUGACCGAAUCCCUGACUUUUUCACCCAUGUAUCAGCAGGUCCUGUCAAGAUCUUGCGAGUUGUGCGUGUGCGUGUUGACGGAGGAGGCCGUCGGUUUUUGGCCGGUUCUCCUUAUGAAUUUGCUAAUACUAGUAUAAUAAUCCUAAUGAAUAUACAGGGCUCUGGUCGAUGUUGAAAAAUCUAACUGAAAAGACUGAUGCUGCAUGUGUUCCAUUUCAUGGUUAUCAUGCCUGAUGGCAUGCUACAAGUAUCUGGCCUACGCCUUCAUUCAUGUUUGUUUGCUCGCAACGGUGAAAGCUCUCACUGGCAUGAUAGCACAUACACGAUUCUGGAACUAGCACACCAUACUUUCCGACGGCUGGACAAGUGGAAGAAGCAUAAGCUGGAGGUGUCACACUCUACUAAUGAAAUGAUGUCACGCGGCGUAGGGGCGGCAGGGCUCCAGAUGAACCGGAAACAGAAACCAUUUCCCCGAUCUCUGUUGACAUUUCCAAGCAACAUCAAAUCAAAUCGUGGCCGGACAGCCGCGGAGCCCGAGAAAUAAAUUUAAAAAAUCAAGAUCGAUAUCCUCCCUCGGCCGCUCCCCACCAAAUCUACAGCAGAGCAGGCGGCAGCAGCAGCAGCAGAUGUACUCGCGCCGGCAGGCUAGACGACGAGGCGAGACGGGACGAGCCGAGCCCAUUUGACCCCUGCGUUCCCUCCACCCGCGCUUCAAUUCCUUGUCCCCACGCCCUGUAGAGCAACAGCGGAGGAGGAAUUGAAUGCGGCCGCUGAGGAGCAGGUGGUGUAAAUUUCUCCUUCCCUUUCCUCGCCGGCUCCUGUCAGACGUCCGGCGCGGGCCCACAUGGCAGCCCCUGCCGACUCCCCUCCCGACUGCAUUGGCUUGCACCCUUUUCAGCUUUGGGAAAGCGGACGCCGACGGCCGGCCAUGCGCCUGUUCGUAGUACUCACUCGCACGUCCUGUGUUGGAGUGGAAACUGGAUUUGGCCAAGGGGGAGAGCGGACCGGGGGAGGGGGAGGUUGGUUGGCUGGCUCGACCGGUCGAUGGAUGGAUCGACCAGGCUUCACGGGCACGGAUAGACGGGACUGGACGGGCUCGCUUCUUCUCUGGUCGGUGAUGGCGCCCUCGCGCCGACGCGCCUUCAUUCAGUUGGAUCCGUCCGUCGCGAAAAGCGACCGACGAGCGGGCCAAAAGGUCGUCCCUGGGCACGUCGCGUCGUCCGGUCCAUGUUCUUCGCAGGGUGGUUGGGCUGGGCUGACGACGUGCAGGGUGCACAAGUAUACUACACUUGUGUGUGUAGUGGUACUCCGCAGGAACAUGGAGCGGCUCCCAAGUAUAGUGUGACGGUGUGAUCCUCACUGCACUCUGGCACUCUUGGUCGUUCCAGGCUUGACCCGACUCGGGCGGCGGCCACCCCCCCUGCCGUGCUGACCGGACCGGGUCAGGGUCUCAAUGGUUGACGGGCACGGGCGGCACACUGGGUCGCUGGCCGGUGCCCCUACAACAGUACAGCUGUGUUAUUUUUCAUUCCGUACGAUGAACCGCUGUUUUUUGAGUGUGUGGUUGCUAGGUUGGUUUGGAAAGAAGUGGGGUUAGUUUUUGAUAAGAAUUUUAACUCCUUUUUAGAACUGGCUAGUGGUUGGCUCUGUAACAAGAGAUUCAGAUUCUUACGUUUAAAUGUAGUCUCUUCUGCUGUCCUUUGGGGAUUGUGGAAUACCAGGAACGAUAUUGUUUUUAGUAGUACAACUAAAUGGAUCUCUAUCAAGCAGGUCUGGUAGAAGAUAAUCCAUUAUUUAGGGGACUGGACAAAACCUCACAAGGAACUGCUGGAAGGACGAACGGCUCAAUUCAGAGACCACCUGCUGAAGAAGCUGAAGUUACCCCUGGAGCUCGAACCAGACUGAAGUGCACCGAGUCUCAGCGUCCGCUGUCUUGGGCAAAAACCAUUGAAGCCACUGCACAUGGGGGAGGGCGGGGGGAGCUACAUUGGAGGAACUAAAGAGCAACCCGAGGAUGGCAGAUGAGAUCCAUGUGGUUUUUGUUCCGAUGUCCUGAGCUUUGUAGUUCUUCCUGUUAAGAGGAGUAACUUUCGUUUCUAGCAGGGAGAUGUAACUAGGUUAUGCUGUAAUUGGUCCUAAGAGUCUGGUCGUUUUGGUGAACUCUUGGGACACCAUGGACCUGGCGUGUAGACCAGGAGUCUUCGUCGUUUAUGUGGUCUUGGUUUCGUUUCUACGAAAUGGAGUUGGGGGGCUCCCCUUUGAUCGGAAAAAACCCCCCGCUGAUUUUGGUUCUUUUGGGCCUAACUCUUCCCUGGGUCACUAUACAGUUUAACGGGCUCGACAUAGUCAGUGCAGUCGUCAAGCAGCGCCUGGAAUGGGCCGCCCAGCGGGGAUCGCAGGCAUUGAGCCCUUUUUUCACAUUUUUACUUUGUUUUUUGCUUUUAAUUUUUUUACCUUUGCUUAAAUUUCAAAAUAUUCUAAAUAUAUCUAAUAUGAAAAUCACUUUAUAUAUAGAAUGCUAAAAUGUUAAUCUUACAUUUGAAAAAUGUUAAACGUGUAUGGAAAAAUGUUUCUAAUGUAUACAAAAAGUGUACACUGAUACCUUUGUCUCUCCACCAAGACAAGGCAGUUAGGGUUUUUGCCUCCAGUCGGCGGUGACGCCACUCUGCCUCGUCUCUUGUGGCCUUAGGGCCAUGAGUGCGCGGUGGAUCCCGGCCCUUGCUGGCAGGAGGGCUUCGUUUUUAGGUGCUUUUUCAAGUUUUGUUAGAGUUUGUGUCCUGCUCAAGAAUAUGAGGCGACGACGGCUUCUUAAAGAUGAAAUAAGGUUCUCCCGCCUAGCUCCGUCCCGGUGGUGCGUCUAGCAUCGUCGGAGGGUAUGUGGAGGUGUGUUUGCGGCGGAUCUCGCGGGAUUCAGUUGGAGGUUGUCUUUGGUGGAUCACUCGGAACCGGUCUUUGUUCGUCUCUGUUCAUGUGUCUUCAGGUUGGAUCCUUCCCAUCUAAGCUUCUGUUCAUCAGCGGUGGUUGUUGUUCUGGUUUGUUGCUCCUAUGGGGUCUUAGCACGAUGACUUCCCGACUGUCUACUGCAACAAGUUGUGCCCGGCUCUGUCACGGGAGGAGUGAUGAUGACGACGCGCCUUCGGCUCGCUUCAGUGCUUGUAGUCGUCGUUAGGUGGUAUACGAAUAUGGAUGUAAUUUUAUUAUUUCUUGUGUUCGUUGUACUGUCAUGAUUGGAGAUGAAUAGAUCAAAAGUUUCCCAAAAAAAAAGUGUACAAUGUGUAUGUAAAAAAUAGACAUUAAAACAUAUAUAUGAAAAAAUGUUUAUCAUGUAUUUAAAAAAUCUUACACAUGCAUAAAACAUCUCCCCAAUGUAUAAAAGAAGUACAAUGUGUGCGAAAAGUAGAAACCAAAAUAUAUAUAUAUAUAUAUAUAUAUAUAUAUAUAUAAAUAUUAAUCAUGUAUUUAGAAAAUGUUAAACAUGUAUAAAAAUUGUUCCCGAUAUAUACAAAAAAAGUUGAUCGCAUACAAAAAACAUUGUGACAUUUUAAAAAUGUUCAUGUAUUUGAAAAAUUAUAUGUGACAUUAUAAAAAAAUGGUAAUCAUGUAUUUGUAGAAAUUUAAAUGUAUAUCAAACCAAUGUCGUAGAUGUAUGUAAAAAAUGUAUAAUGUUUAUGAAGAAAGUAGAAAUCAAACUUGCAGUUGAAAAAAUGUUAAUCAUUAUAUUUUCAAAAUGCUAAUCAUGUAUUAACAAAUGUUAGAUCUGCAUAAAAUUUGUUCUUGGUGUAUAUGAAAGAUGUAGGCAUCAAAAACAUUUGUUUUUAACAAAUCUUAACCUUGUGUUUUAAAAAUGCUAACAUGUAUUAAAAUAAAUGUUUCACAUGUACAUGGAAAACGUACAUAGAAAACCAAGGAAAAAUGGUACAACAAACAUAGAAAAUAAAAAAAAGCGAUAAAAAAAGGUUCAAAAAGAGAAGAAACCCAUAAAGAAAAACACAUACAAAGAAAAAAAGAAAUAAUCCAACGAAGACCUAUGAAAAUGAUGAAAAAGAAAGAGAAACGAAGGAAACCAAAGAAAAUCAAGGAAAAAUGAAGAAGGAAACAAAGAAAACACCAAAGAAAAUAGUGUAAACUGAGAAAAACGAGUAAAACCGGUGAAACAAAUAAAAUGGAAGUUAUACUGAAGAAAAAAAAUCAAAGAAAUCAGAUAAAAAAUAAAAUAAUCGAAGAAAAGAACAAAAAAACAAACCAAAAAAAGAAAAAUCACAGAGAAAAUCGGAGAGCCGGUGGCCGGCCGCUCGCGCUGCGCAUGACGCGAGAGCUCCUUCCAUCUCGUUAAAAGCGAGAUAUAGCUCUCGCGCAAUUUGACGUGCUUUUCGAAAGAGAUGCGGUGUAAUUGGGCCAUCGGCAGCAUGCCGCAUGUUGGACGGGUUCCUAAAUCCAUUUUCGUUAUCUAACCUCAGUGACGGUGUCCUGAAUAGGGGGGGUGCUAACGAUGCCGGCUCCCGAACAUAUGGGCUGGGCCUUGGAUCCCCGAAGCAACCAACCAGUGGGCCAGGCUCGCCAGGCCCCCAGGAGAGUCAACCCAUAGAUGUAACCGACUUAUAUGUAACCCUAGGUACCCCGGUGUCUAUAUAAACCGAGGCGAGAAGACCUCGGAUGUCAACACUUAUACACACGAUCUCGUGGUAGAUUAACUUGUACUCUGCACUCCCUCGAUCAAUACAAUCAAAGCAGAACGGUAGGGUGUUCUCUCUUCAAUAGAGCCCAAACCUGGAUAAAAUCCUGUGUCUCUGCUACCAUCGUGCCAAGGCUGUCAGCUCAUGACCUUUUACCUGAGAUCUACUGGAUUUGACUCCAUUAUUGGUGGCCCAUACGUGCCUCUCUAUGUAGUCAAAACGGCUCGAUGACAUUCACCAAUGAUGAGAUCGACACCAACGCAAUUCUCGCGCCGGAAUUUCCCUGCCUCGGCUUGGCCGAGGAGUUGGAGAAAAUCGAAACUUGAACUCCUGUCGAGUCAUUGAACUCGACAAAUCAGGCCCCUGCCGUAAUUUCUCGUUCCCCUUCCUCAUUUCCCGGAAGCGUCUCGCAAACCUCGCCGGCAUGUGAGACGUCUAGUCGGGCCACUUGUUAGCCCCUGCCGACCUCCCUUGUCAGUCCGUCACCCUGCAUUUGGCUGGCUUGGGGACAUGAAGUUUUUGCACCCGAGCUCAAACGGUAAAAUCAAAAAAUAUUUAAAAAAUGUUCAAAAAAUCUGAUUUUUUAAUGGCAAGCUUUGAUAAAUGUUCUAAGAGCUUGCAAAGUUGCAUCAUGAAAUCACACUUGUGGAAGUCGUGGUAAAAAAAAAAUCGAUACUCUGAAAUGCUAGUUUCAAAAGCAUUUUGGAACACUGAUUUCGUUAGGAAAUUUUACAAGCUCUUAGAACAUUUGUCAAAGUUUUGCCAUAAAAUAAUUUCUGAUUUUUUUGAACUUUUUUAAAUGUUUUUCGAGUUACUGUUCAUCCCGAGCCGGGUGUAGAAGGGGACUUUCACUGCCUUGGACCUUUUUCAGCUUUCUUUCGUCGUUUCAAAAGCGUCCGGCCAUGUGCCCGCGCGACGGCUCGUAGUACUCGCUCGCACGACCUUUUAUCUUUCUCACCGAGGAAAAGAAAAGAAAAAGAAGCGUUGAAGUGGAAAUGGGAUUUUGCCAAGGAGAAGAACGGACCAGGGGAGGGGGAGGUUGGUUGGUUCGACCGACCGAUCGAUCGAUCGACCAAGCUUCACGGGCACGGAUGGACUGGAAUGGACUGGACGGACACUCUGCCUCUGGUCGGUGAUGGCGCCCUCGCGCCGACGCGCCUUCAUUCAGUUGGAUCCGUCCGUCGCGAAAAGCGACCGACGAGCGGGCCAAAAGGUCGCCGCUGGGUACGUUGCGUCGUCCGGUCCAUGUUUGUGGCUCGCGCUUUUCUCGAGGGUGGUUGGGUUGGGCUGACGACGUGCAGGCUGCACAAGUGAAGUGCGCGUGUGUGUAGUGUACCUACCCGGAGGAACGAACGAACAUGGGGUGCCCACAAGUGCAGUGUCACCUACAACUCUGCCUGUGCUCGGCGCUCUUCGUCGUUUCAACCUUUUUUUUUUUUUGCGAAUAUUCGUCGUUUCAACCUUGACCCGACUCGGGCGGCGGCCACCCUGCCACCCUGCCGUGCUGACCGGACGCGGUCAGGGUCUCAAUAAAAACUGGGUCAAUGGGCGGUGGCCCUACGAGGAUACAUCUCUUUUCCCCGUACUGUAAAUAAAACUGUUUUUUUAGGGGUUGUCAAUAAAACUGCUGAUUUUCGUUAUGAGGCCAAACUCCUGGGCGCGUCUUUGUCUCGCAUUAUGCGAGACGAAAGAACACAUCGCCUCAACGACGUCCUAAAUAGGCUGGCCCCUAGUGUGCGUUUUUUUUUCUUUUUCGUUCUCUGGUUUAAUACUUUUACGCACAUUUCUCAAAUGGAAAUAUGUAUUCUUUAAAUUUUUAGAAACGUUCAUUGCGCAUUUUAAAAAUGUUCACGCGGUUUACAAAAAAGUACGAGCAACUUCUAAAAAUGUUGAUAGCAUUCUAAAAUAACGUUUGUGGCAUUGAGAAAAUGCUCAUGCAUUUAAGAAAAAUCAUGAAAUUUAGAAAAAUUAAAAUUAUACAAUGUAAUUUUUUUUAAUUUAAAAAAGAUGUUCAAUACCAUUCAAAAUAUGUACGUGACAGUGUAAAGAAAUUUUCACGCAUUUCAGAAAAUAAGUUUAUACAAUUCUAUUUCUGAACAAAAAAUGUUUUGUGCCAUUAAAAAAAGUUCAACAUGUAUUUAAUUUUUUGAACAUGUAUUUGAAAAAAUGUACAUUAUAUAUUUGAAAAAAGUAGACACGUGUUGAAAAAAGAAAAAGAAUACACCGUAGAAAACUGGUGAACAAAAUACCCAAGAAAAUCGAUGAAAAACCAAUUAGAAACACACAUAGAAACGAACGAAUAAAAAGGAACAACAUGAAGAUUCUAAAAACUGUCUGAACAUGUCAAUGGAACCUUUAUAGAACCGCUACAAUAUCUACAGAUUUGGGCCAGGCCAUUCAGUGGAGUGCCAAAGGCGAGAUUACCGUAGGUCUCGAGAUUACCGUAGGUCUCGUAAUAGACAAGAAAGAGCCCUGGCGCUAGCUCCUCAAUGGAGUAAUGUAAAAUUUAACGGGCUUUUAGAAAGAACUGGAACAUAAUAGGGUGGUCAGCAAUAGAUUGUUUGUUUGACAGUUUCCUAAAUCCAUUUUCAUUAUCGAAUGUGAAUUAUUAUUAUGGGUAACUUUAAAAAAAAGUCUUCUGCUGGCACAAAACCAAUCUCCUCCGCUUUUGAGUGUUUCUCUGGCGUCGUGGGCGGAGUGGAGGAGAUUGCCGUUGUCUCCAUGCUUUGUGUAGUAGAUUUUGAUGUCGCAGAGGAUUGUCCCAAUGGUGAUAACAAUGCCAUCUCGAAUAAAAGACAUUUGACUUCGAUUUCAUCCUCAUGGCGUUUGUACAGCAUUGUCGUAGAGCGUGUGAGUUUUGUCCUUGUUCUUCCUCAUGAAGGACGUUUUGGGUUUCAAGUGUAUCGUUGACCACAACAUCGUCUUCUUCUACAACCUCUUCUCUCGAGUAUUUGCCAGCAAUAUCGUUUGUUUGACUUGGCGAUACUAGUACAGUUGUUUGCCUAUUUCAGUUUGUGAUGGUUCAACGGUAUUUGUUUCUUUACAGGUCUUUGCAUAUAUUUUAGUGACUGGAUUUUUUUGAUGUUGUCUAUUAUCAACGAGAGCUAUGGUGGUACAACGACAAUAUGUUUAUUUUUUCAUAGUGGUAUUUCUUUUUGCGGGGUUCGUAUUGGUAUCCUUCCAUUUGUUUAGGGUCUCAUUUAUGUAUGUGGAUCAGUUACCUUGUUAUAUGAUCUUAUACAGUGUUCUUUUGAUUAAUACGUACUCUCUCCUUUUCGGUUUAUAGGGCUCAAUUCAAAAAUCUCAUCAACCAAGGUAUAUGGUGAGUGGUGGAAUACUUUUUGUAGUUUGCAAAAGCACUCAAUUAAUGCUCUUGUUUUUCUUAAAAUUAUGUUUACUAAUGCAUUAAUUGCAAUGCAUGCAUGCAUAAAGUACAUGCAUUGGUCAAUUUUCCCUUAAUAUUUGCAUGCAAUGAUUUAAUGCACCUUGGAAUCUGAACAUGUGAUGUGGAACAACCAAAUUAAGCCUUAUAAAAUGGAAAAACUGAAAUUUUGAGAUAAGGCCUAUAAACCGGAAAGGAGGGAGUAUAAACUAGAUUCGACUUAAUAAUUUAGUGGCAUUUAGUGUCCGCAGCUUUCAACUGGUCAUGUGUUUUGUACUAUACGUGAACGGUAACUGAAAGCGGAAACCGCGAACUCCGUAGAUGAGCUGAAAGCGGAAAGGUUGUGUCUGUACUACCAACCCCGGCAGCCGUCAAACCCCCUGCUCGGCCACUUGCUCUUCUCCCCCCUCCGGCACCCGAUGCUCGCCGCCGCCACCACCGCCUCCCUCCCCCCGCCGCUCCGCCGCUCACCGCGCGCAACCUCCCUCGAUGCCCCCCAUGGAUGCGAGGCUGGGGCCCGCUCUCUCCACCCGCGGCCCCGCAGCAGGCGGACCCUAGCCUGCCGCGCGGAGCUGCAGCAGGACGCGCCGUUCGUGGCCGCCAUCGGCGCCUGCGUGCUCGCGUCCCUCGUGCUCCCGCCGGCCAGGGUCCGAGGAGAGGCGGCGGAAGAGGACGACGACGGGGAGUUCGGCGCGACGGACACGAGGAUGGGCGUGAUGGCCAUCAUCUCCUUCCUGCCUUACUUCAACUGGCUGGUGAGCCGAAGCAUCUUGGUUGCUCUUAUUAUUUCUUUUCCCCACGGACUGAUAAUGUUUUGGGUGCUUUUCUCCCUGGGAUUAGAGCUGGGUCUUCGCGUGGCUCGACAGCGGCAGCAAGCUGUAUCUGCUCUACGCGGCCGUCUAUUUGGCUCCUUACCUUAGGUUUGUAUAAUUGUGAAUCCUGAGCUACGAGCUUCUGUUUUCUUUGUUCGGUAUCCCGGAACAAUUGAUUAUUCGCUCUGUUAGGCUUUUAUCUGAGACUAGUGUUUCAACCUUUCAAUUAGCUGUUGUUUUGCAUUGAAAAAUCCCGGCUCUGUGAUAUCACUAUUUGGCUGCUAGGUAGGAGUAGUUGCUAGUGUUACGAGCCAGUGACUGACUUAGGUUGGCAAAAUGCUUCUUGUGCCAUUGGAGCUGUAGAGUGUUCGGGGAAGUUGAGGAUUCCAGUUCUCUAUUGCCAACUUACUAGUGCCAUUGGAGCUGUAGAGUGUUCAGGUAAGCUGAGGAUUCCAGUUCAGUAUUGCCCUGAGCUUUGGUCGACAAAGAUCCACCGAUUAGUGCCAUUGGAGCUGUAGAUUGUUCAGGGAAGUUGAGGAUUCCACUUCAGUAUUGCCCUGAGCUUCCGUUGACAAACAUCCACUUAUUAGACCAUCUUCAAUUGCUUAACGAUUACAAUUGGGGAAACAACUUGGAGUGAGCAGCCGAUUAUCCCCAUAUGUUCAGGGAAGUUGAGGAUUCCACUUCAGUAUUGCCCUAAGCUUCCGUCGACAAAGAUCCACUUAUUAGACCAUCUUCAAUUGCUUAACAGUUGCAAUGUGGUAAACAACUUGGAGUGAGCAGCCAUUAUCCCCAUCUGUACUUCAACCCGUCGUCAGAUUUUUCAUGCGAGUUUCUUCUGUGGUGUCAGUAAUGUAGUACUCCCUUCGUUCCAAAAUAUAGUGCGUCCUUGAACCUCGGGAAGCGCGGGCGCGCUAUAUGUUGGAACGGAGGGAGUAUAUUAUGGACUAUGAACUGCUCUUCUGGUUCUAUCACAUGGUGUUGCUAUGAAAUAUGGACCUACCAACGUUAAGUACAGUCAUUACUUGUUUGGCCCUUUAUUUUGUCAUGUUGUACAUGUUGUGGUUCUAUGUGUAUGUAAAUUUAUAUAUGGAAGCAAUACAAAAUGGAGCAGCGAAGUUACCGUACUUUCCAUUUUCUGCCUCUUCCGAGUAUGAUGAUUGAAAUUUAGUGUCAUUACUGAUUAGCCAAAUGUUACUUGCCACCCUGCCUUGUAAGUUGUAACGGUGUACUAAUUCAUAUUGACUUCUGGUGUACCAUACCACCUUGUUCUAGCAUACCACCAUGUUCUAAUUGCUGUGGGCUUACUUUUUGCCUGUUCAACACUUUGCACAUUUUCUAUCCAUGAAUUAGAGAUUAGACCCAAGCUGUCUGCUCGGGUAACUUACAAAUGUCAUUGCUGUUUCCAGAACGAACUUGUCGCUCUCCCCUGAUGAGAGCUGGUUGCCCAUUGCCAGCAUCUUCAUCUGCAUCUUACAUGUUCAGGUAAGUGAGCGGCCUUCUUCAGUACUUAUUAAGCAAGUUGUGUUCAUUUGAUGAGAUGCUUUCUUCCCUUGCAGCUAGAAGCAGGCAUCAGGAAUGGUGAUAUUGAGGGCUUCAUGUUCUUUCAAAAAGCACAGAAUCUUCUCUUUCCCAAUGCUAUGAAGGAAAAAGAUGGCCACCGUGCAAACAAGAGAGAAUCUCUCAGAACGGUACGAUUCAAGGUGGUGUGUAACCCAGAUUCACGAUAUCCCUAUUAGUUAAAAUUAUGUAAUCCGCCUCUGCAUCUGUUCAGGGACAUCGGGGCAACUCAAGAAUACCUUCAGCUCACGAGUCCAGAGAGAAGCUUCGCAAUUCAGCUAUCUUCAAGAAAAGACUUGAUGAGCCCGACGAGAAACAAAAGAAAUCAGACUGGCAUUGAACUUGACGGGGUUCUCUUGUUGUAUGGCACCGGAAGUGGUUCUAGACAGAUGCUUGCUUAUGUAGCUGCAGAAAGUCAUGUUUUAGAAAAGGAGGAUGACCCCCGGCCUUUGCAUCUGAGCGAUGCAUACGGUCACUUUAUUAAUUAUUCUCAUAAGACCUUACAAAGUAAUACCACAGUAAGACUAAAGCUGCCGUCUAAGCAACAAACUGUCGCUACACCUAUCCAGUUGAUGAAGGGGUGCAGAUAGCCUGGGCCUAAAUACCAAACAGACAUCGCAGCCAAACCUAACAUCUAAGACCUGAGGACCCAUCCAGGACGCCUGCCGGGCAUGGGUCUCGCCGGUCCGGCGUGCUCUUAGAGGCCGUCGCCGCCAACUGCCACCGUUCCAUCUUCAGAAUUGUACUGAUGCAUCAACCUUGCUCAGUCUAGCUAUCGUCCAUGCCACCACGGCGCCCAACAGCUCCUUCCUGCGCGCAAACAGUUGUGCACGUCGCGGUCGCCACUGAUACACCUCAGCACCAUGCUGCCAAGUACCACCAGCCGACACAGCUUGAAGUCUUUGGAAGAUCUGUCGUGCGUAGCACCUGCCGACCAGGCAUGACAAAGCGUAGCACCUGUCGGUCAGGCAUGACUUAACAUCUACACCGAAGCUCCGUGCAAGACGAAGCCGCUCCACCUCCUGCCUCUGACUUCCAGCGCUGCUCCACAAACGAUGCCCCCAAGAGAGAAACGACACCGCAGUGCCGCCAUCGUCCGAUUUGGAACACCAGAUCCUAGGGUUUCCCCUAGAGCAGCACGAGUGGGUCGACAGUAGUUACACGACGAUGCCUCCAUCAAGGUAACGGCGUAGAACGCCGCCAUCGCCUGCCAACGGCUCGGUUUUCACCGGCAACCAUGUCUCCCCAACUCGCAGCCGGGACUAGAUGAUGAAUCUCGAGAUCCGAUCACCAAGCCUCUGGCCGGCCAUCUCUGACGACGAAGAUGACCACCACCAUUGGCCAGCGAGAUGACGCGAGAUGAAGUAGGGCGCUGCCAGCGUGCGUCCUGGCCAGCACCACCGGCGCUCGGCCCGUCCUGGACCACGCCUCAUGGCCGAGGGCAACGGCAAGCGCUGCCACGACGAGGACACAGACCGGAAGCCCAGAUCCGACCCACCCGCGCGCCGCCACAUGGCCACCACCAGGUGCCGUUCAGGGGCAUCCCCGCCGCCGUGAGGGACGCCGCCCCACGGGCAGCAGGCGCCAGCCACCGACGAAAUACCGCCGCGCGCCACCGGCCGCCGCGAGAUCUGCGCGAGAACGACGAGGACGCCCCGCCGCCACCUUCCCUGGGGACCAUGCGGGCUUCGCCGGUGUCCCCUCCGGCGGCGGCGAAGCGGGGGAGGAGCGGGGAGGGGCGGCUGGCGGCACAGUUAGGGUUGGGAGGAGCGGGGCGGCUGGCAGCCGCCUAGGGUAGAUCGGGAGGAGCGCGUCGCCUGGCCCUCAAAGUCAUGUGUGGGACUGUGGGUUGCAAGCGAAGCUGGGGUGAUGUUGUAUGUAGCAGGCUUGUGGUUUCAGAUUCCUAGUGUUGAAUUAGAGGUGUAGCUAGUUUCUAUGAUGUUGUGUUGUUGCAUGUCAUAAUUUGUCAGUUUGCAAUUUGUGUUUUAUUAAAGAUGUGGCUUAUCAAAAUCACCAGCCGGU